rnacentral:lncRNA from 1 species
UGCAAGAGCUUCGAGUUCAAGCACCACCGGUUUUGCCGUUCUUUGGAGUCACCUUAGAACAACUCCGUGAUCUCGAUGGCAGGAACUUUUAGAUCGCAUUCGGGAGGUUGCAAGUUUCCGAUCGAGUUACUGUCGUGUGUUCACCUUUUCUGGCUUCUGUGUUUGGCAGUAAGAUGUCGAUUACUUAGUUAUAAAACUUGGAAGAUGCAUAGUCUAAAUGUUUUCUUUUUGUAAGAGUAGAAUAAUAGUUAAUUUUCCUCCUUUCGUGUAAGCAAGCAUCUAUCCAAAUUUAAUGUAAAUCACUUGUUUCUUAGUCAAAUUGUUUGAACCUGUUUAAAUUAUCAUCUCACGUAUCACAUUACAAAGUCUUGUAUGGGCAAUUGUUCUGGGAUCCUUCACAGUUUUGAGAGGAGUUCUUCAUGGGGCUAAGUCAAUUAAUAAAUGGAAUUUGUGUGCCCUAAUUAGUAAAGCUAUUAUUUCUCAAUUAACAACUUCUUACUUGAACUCGGCAAAAAUCAAUGAAUCAAUCUCAGGUAUCUCACGAGUAGAUUGUUUAGUUUCUAUCCUUCAGUGCAACCUCUUCAUUAUGAGUACCUCGGAAAGAUUAUUACUUCAUUUUUACUAUCUAAAAGUAGGCAUUAGCUUCACAUGAACAAGGUGCGUCCAUUGACUCUGAGAGGAAACGGGUGACCACAGAUUUCCCUUUUUUUCCACCGUGAAUAAUACGAGAAGAAACCUAUGAACAUCUGUUGGAUUGGCGGCUUUCUAAGGAAAGUAGAAAUGGCAUGUCGUUCACGAGAAAAAAAAAAUUAAAAAUUUUGUAAAAAACGUCAGUUUAUUAUCUUUGGUCUUUCUUUUGCUAUAAACGUUUGAUGCGUGACUAAGCCCAGAAGUCCAAAAUCUCCGAACAGGAAGAGGGUCUAGAAGCUCGGCGCAGGUAAUCUGGGGUAGGGUUCCAUUCAUGUACAACCUCCUUGUUGCCAGGCUCCAUCUAUGAGAUUGUUAAGAGAAGACACGAUUCCUAUCUAUGGGAAAAGUAUAAAAAAAAGUCUAAAUCUAUUGCAUUGUAUUGAUUCAAUCAUAAAUCUUCUAAUUGGGUCAAUUUAAUCAUAAACAUUUUCACAUUAAUAUCAAUUCAAUCCAUCUGGCUAAUCUAGGCUGGAAAUUACUGACAUAAAUAUUGGCAGUCCUACGUGGCAUAACUAAUGCUGACAUUGAUUUUUUUUUACAAGUUUUUUGAAUUUUUUUUCCUUUGUUUUUCUUUCCCUUUUAUUUUUGUCGAUAGCUAGCAAGGACUGGCCUUGCUUGGGUGAGGAUCACUCUUGCUGGCCAUAGGCAAGGGUCAACCUCGCUGAGCCGCGCCUGAGCAAGAGUAGGCCUUGGCGAGGCCUGGCUUUUUAUCAUAUUUAUUUCUUUUUGUUUUCCACAAAAUUCAAAUCAUUAAAAGAGGACUUAACUCCUCCUUUUCUAUUUUACUUCUAUUGUUUGUUCGGGAUUAUAACCAAUGGAAACUUAAAAGCAGUCAAAUGAUACAUCAUCGGAUGAUUGUACAAGGCAGGCAGUAGGUUAUAAGAAAAAAAAAAGCCAAACAAACAAACAAGAAUGAAAAAUGGAAGGAAUGAGAAAUUCAAAUAAAAAAUAAAAGUAAAGGGAUUGGAUCAGGAAUCCAAAUAAAAGAUCCCUGGUUUAAGUGAGGGUCGGUCUCGCCGGAGCUCAAAUCCUCUUUUCCUCUUUUCCUCCAGAAACUCCUUUCCACAAGAUCUAUUUCCUUUUACUUGUUUAACUUAGAAAUAUAAUCCACAAAGGAGUAUCUGGACGCUUUGGCCUUCGGGGGCCAUAGAAACGGCAGGGUUGAUGACAAGUAAAACUUUGAGGUCAAGUAUCUUGAGUGGAAGAAGAUUAGGGCUUAAGGUUGAAUACGAAGAAGGAAGCGAGAUAAAAAGCAAAUCUUGGCAAAAUUUAUACUUUCCAAAAACGGGCCAUAAACAUAAAGAUAUAAUUCAUGAAUCGUGUCGAUUCAGGUAACGUGUCUGGAAGCUAUGAGGCAGCAGACUGCGCACAGAGUACAAAGCUUCAGAGGUACAAUACGCAUUAGUAUUGUCCGUGAAACAAAGGCCCUCAUGUUUUAGAUAUUUUAAAAGAAACCAAAAUUACUUUUAAUUCUUUUAAAAAGGAGACAUACAUUUGCACCAAAUAUAACCAGUUCAUUAAUAUGAAUAGGCAUGCGACUCGAAUACAAGUUAUUAUUAAAUGCAUGAGCCAUCGUCAACGACCAUAAAAAAUGUUAUUGAUAUUAACAUACAUCUAUGACCAUUAAUUAACUGUUGAUAUAAGACAGCAUACAGUUGAUAAUGAUCAACGUCAUAAUGGAGUUGGUUGGCAAAGAUACCAAUCAAAGAGAAUCACCGAUUGAGACUGCGAAUGGGUAAGGGAUAUGUGAGAAGUGCCAAAAAAAAAACAGUUAUGAUAUUCCAAAUUGAAAUCGUUGGUGGAAGAGGCAAAGUUAAAGUUUAGCAGAUCAUGGAAAAAAAGGUUAAGUUAAAGCAAGGGUGAAGGAUCGAGGCGCAAUUUUUAAGGAGAAACUACCUUAACACAAUAUUGUGGUCGUCGUCAGAACAAAGGAUCAAGAUCCAUGAAGAUAUGGACGCAUGACUAAAACUGCAAGGAAACCGCCUUUGAGCGGUUAUGUCACAGGCACUAUAUUACACUAGUGCUCAACUACUAGAGACCACCCCCCUCCGGUGCUUGGUGCACAAAGAAACAAUAUGUUACCUUCCAAUUAUCUUUACAUUUCUACACAAAAAAUUUAGGUUUCAGAUUCGUGUCGUUGAUUAAAUUUCGACAUCAAUUAUAUUUCUACAUGUAUCUUUGCUUUAAAUUGUAGGUACCUCAUCGAUGAUUAAAUUCCAAUGUUGCAUCUUCACAUUUUCAGGCUUUGUUGUCAAUUAAAUUCCAGCAAAAUUUUUGUAAGUAUGGCUAUUUUUGAAGUAAACUUGCUGAUUCUUUUGUCUACCUAUGAUAUCUCUCGUUUAGAAUCAUCACUGAACCUAUCUCAUCUAAUAAAACUGAAGAAUGACUUUUGAUGACAUGUUUUUUUGUCAUUGAAUCCAAUUCAAGUGAAACGGUUAGAAACUCAACUAGAAAUGGAAAAUCGAGGUAUUUGAUUAGACUGGACAACAAUUGUUUUGUAAAGGAACUUGAGCUCGAAUUUGAGUUCAAACUUAAAAAAGCUCGAAUAAUGUGGGUACAUUAUGUAAAUUUCAAGAUAUUUAUAUCUAUUUAUUAAAUUUAUAUUCAAAGAAUAGGAAAGGUCAAUUCCACUCACAAGCCUAUGGAACUAGAAAUUGGCGAGCUCAAACUUGGCGCAACAAGGUAGUUUGAGGAGAUGCAGACCCUUGGAGUGCCAUAACUUGACAGAAAGGGACACUUAAGUGCCACAACUUUCGAAAUGUACACUUAAGUGUUAAAAUCAGAGCAAAGUGGAUCAAUUGAGUGCCAAUCUAGCCAAAAUCCGGCCAAAUUGCAUACGUGGCAUUUUUUCGGUGAAGCGAGUGCAAAACGGCAUCGUUUUGCACACUGACGUGGCCAAAUAAUGCAAAAACAACGUCGUUUUGGGCUAGCGUGGUUAAAAAAUUAUAUUAAAAUUAACUAAAUUNNNNNNNNNNNNNNNNNNNNNNNNNNNNNNNNNNNNNNNNNNNNNNNNNNNNNNNNNNNNNNNNNNNNNNNNNNNNNNNNNNNNNNNNNNNNNNNNNNNNUGCCUUCCUCCUCCAUUUUUUUAAUAAUAAUAAUAAAUAUACAUUAUAUUAUUAUUUUGUUUUAAAUUUAAUUUAAUUAAUUUUUAUACUAUAUUAAAAUUUAAAUUAUGCCAAGAUGACGUCGUUUUGGCUGAUUUAAGGGCUCAAUUUUGGCCAACACUCGAAACGACGUCGUUUGGGGUGAAUUAGAGCUGACUCAACUCUUCGGCAAGCCAUCUCAGUAAUAAAUAUUAAUAUUUAAUUGCCACGUAUGAUUUCUAGUUGGCUUCGCCAGAGGUGGCACUUAGGUGUCCCACUUUUCUUUAAAUGUGGCACUUAAGUGUACUUUUCGAAAGUUAUGAUACUUAAGUGUCUAUUUUGUGCCAAGUUAUGGCACUUGUAGUGUUUUUAUCCCGUAGUUUGAGUAACUCAAUCUCGAGCUUGACCAGAAAUCAAAUGAUUUUUAUCCUCGUGGAGCCCAAAUAACUUGACUCAGUUUCAAUGCCGCGCCCUACGAUAAUGUUGCUUCCAGUACACGCCCGCUUCCUUUUCCACUCGUUCAACACUUAUGUCAGGUGCGUGCAGAUUUUGAGUCUAAAUUUCGCCUCUCAUCUCCUAAUGCAAAGCGCAGACCACGACAAGCACAACAAAAUUAAGCAUCCCAAGAGUCUGACACCCUCUUACCUUCCCAAUCAAUGGCUAGAUCAUCCGGAUCGUGUCUCGAACUAACGUAUUUUUAUAUGUGUCAGCAAGUCAGCUGUAGGGGACAAUUUCAUUGGUUUUAAACUUUUUACUUGUAUUGUAUUCCUCACUUAUAGGGAUAUGUUAACUAGAAUCUGACAUCUUUAGUCACGUAUAACAAUACUAAAAUGAAUAAUAAUAAUGGACAUCCAAUUCACACGUAUGGGAAGUUCCGACUCCCAGUUGACUUUGCUACUUAUAUAGGUCAGGUUCACCGGUGACAAGCUCGUCGGAGAACUCCCUGUACCGAUCGAAAUCAUGACUGAACCUAAUAAUUCAGUUUUAGUACUGAUCUGCAUCCUCUUUGUGUCCACUACUUUAUUUGUUUCCUUUUGCCAUAAAAGGUCCAGGUCACACCGGCUUCCUCCGGGACCCUCCAGAUGGCCGAUAUUCGGCAACCUGUUCAAUCUUGGGAAGAUGCCUCGUCGAACGCUAGCUGGCCUCCGUGAAAAGUAUGGCCCGGUGAUUUGGCUUAGGCUAGGCUCGAUAGACACCAUGGUGACUCUCUCAAGCAGGGUUGCAGCCGAGUUCUUCAAGAACCAUGACCUCAAUUUUGUGGAGCGAACCAUCACCGAUCUCAUGCAAUCUCAGGAGUACUACAAAGGAUCCAUUGCCCUAGCCCCAUACGGCACAUAUUGGCGGGUGUCAAGGAGGCUGCUGACAGCGGGCAUUCUAGUUGCCAGGCGGCUCAAUGAAACAGCUCCAAUCCAGAGAAAGUGUGUCGAUGACAUGUUGACAUGGAUCGGGGAGGCGGCAUCCACAGAUAAGGUCCGACUCGGAGAAGGUGUUCACCUGGCACGCUUCGUGUUCCUCAUGGCAUUCAAUUUGCUGGGGAAUCUCAUGCUGUCCCGAGACUUGCUUGAUCCGGACUCAAAGGUUGGAUCUGAGUUCUUCGAGGCAAUGAGCGGAUUGAUGGAGUGGUCAGGCCAUGUGACCAUUGCGGACCUAUUCCCGUGGCUGCGGUGGUUGGGCCCGCAAGGGCUGAGGAGAAAGAUGGAUCGGGAUAUGGGGAAGGCCAUGAGGAUCGCUUCCGAUUUCGUGAGGGAGAGGAUUGAGGAGAAGAAAAUUGGGGGAAACGACGAUCGGAGGGAUUUUCUUGAUGUGUUGCCUGAGUUCGAAGGAAACGGUAAGGACGAGCCGGCCAAGCUUUCUGAGACAAAUCAAAACAUUCAUACUGGUACGACCACAAACUUUGAAUUGCUAGUUCUGUAAGGAUUCCUGUGUCCAAUCAUAUGCGUAGGGGAUAGAUCGCAGGUGAAUAUCACUUGAUUAUUCAAUUAUCUCCUUAAUGUAUAACACAUAAUCAUACUCGAUUCUGAGUCAUUUUUCUAUUUAUAACUUUACUUUGAAACAAGAUCGGCAUCCUUCCAUUAAUAUAACCUUUUAGAAUUAUGGUUAGGGUUCUUAGCAUUGUGAAAUAUGUGUCGAGAAUUCAACAGAACCAUUGUGAGAAACAUGCAAGUUUCUGAGUAUGUCAACAAGGACAACAUUAGACAUGUAAAAAUAUGUUUGUGAUUGUUUGUAAAGUAUUGUGGUAAAUUAGUAGCCUACUUGGUAUAACUACCCACAGUUGCUACGUAUUUAAAAAAUGGUAUGGCUAUGGUUCCAUUGCCUUGGCCUAGAAAAAUUUACGGAUAUGGCUCCAUUUCGUGAAAUUUUGCCAUGCUUGCUCUCACAUACUCUCCUCUUGACAUCACAGGAAAUGUUCUUGGCUGGUGCAGAAACAUCGAGCAGCACUGUCGAAUGGGCGCUGACAGAACUCCUACGGGACCCGAACUCCAUGGCCAAGGUCCAAGCAGAGCUGUCACGGGUUGUCGGGUCCAACUGAAAGGUCCAGGAAACCGAUAUAGACCAGCUCUCCUACCUGCAAGCGGUUGUGAAGGACACCCUCAGGCUCCACCCGCCACUCCCAUUCCUCGUGCCCCGGAAGGUCAUGGCCAACACCAUUUUCAUGGGCUAUGACAUACCCAAAAACACACAGGUCUUUGUGAACAGUUGGGCGAUCGGUAGAGACCCAGAUGUCUGGGAAGACCCUAUGGCAUUUAAGCCUGAGAGGUUCAUUGGAUCGAAGUUGGAUUAUAAGGGUCAACACUACGAGUUCAUUCCGUUUGGAGCAGGUCGAAGGAUGUGUGCCGGCAUGCCCUUGGCACAUCGCGUGCUUCAUCUGGCUUUGAGCUCGCUGCUUCAUGAGUUCAAUUGGGAGUUCGAUAGCCGCAUUGAUGCAAAGACGAUUGACAUGAGAGACAGGGUGGGGAUGACCAUGAGAAAGUAUGUCCCCUUGCUGGUGGUGCCCAAAAGAAGAGCAAUGUGAGACUGCGUUCAGCUCGGAAUUUGUGCUUGUUUGACAUAUUGGUCUGAGCCUUUCUUUGCUUGCUCAAAUGCGUAUCCUCCAUGGUUUUUACUUUCUAGUUAUUUCCUAGGCUAGAAAAUGAGUAAAUGACAAGAUGAAAUAUGAUGUAUCUAAAACCAGUGAUUGGUCAUGUAAGGUUGCUCUUUUGUUUUGACAUUUUCAUUGGGUAAGAUGUUAAUCUUUCGUGAAUAGAAUCAAAUUUCAGAUCAGGAUAAUACGUAGUUGCACAAAUAAGCUCCGUUUCAUCAGUUCAGAGAACUUUCACAACCUAUUAUAGUCCCGAGUUCAGUAGACUAGAAGCUAAAGACGGCAGAAAUCAACAUAGAAGAAAUGGACCCAGUCAAUUAUUUGCGUAAAAAUUGUCAGCUUAGCUGGCACCUCUCUAAGUGCCAAAUUUACCAGACUGCAAGAUGAAGGAAAUGGCGCAUUUCAGUAUUAUGACUCAUGUUAUCUACCGUCACUCAGAAUAGAAAUAGGUUUUAUAUAUUGAAAAGUCAACAUUUGACCCGAAAGUAAAGACUAAUGUCUUGCAAGUCUAAGUGCCGCACUUAGUCUCCGGAAAAAACCUCUCAGCUCUCGCUUUCACUCUGCCAAUCCUGCAUAUAUGGUUUAGACCCACCAGAAGUUCGACAAUCGCUUCCUCAGUUUUCGGUUGGUCUGCGACGUACAACGUCUGUACCAGAAGCACAUUUGCCCCAGAAUUGCGAUUUUGCUUCUCGAAGCUCCGCUCAGAUUGCCAUUUUAUCGUGUUGUGAGCAAGCGGAGCUAGCCAUUCCAGCAUUUGCGCCACUGUCAUCCCCCAUUUCUCCACGAUCGCACCAUCAUGCACCAUCAACGCCAAACUCAUGGAAUGCAACCUUAGCCUGGCCCUCAGAGCAGUUCGAAUGGAAGCAGGCAACAUAUGAUAGAGGUCCUCUCUCAUGUCGAGGGUGAUUGAGUGAGGCGAAGAUGCUAGCUCCUCGAUUAGAACAAUCACAUUAGCAUAGUGCACAGCUAAGGCAGCAUGGCCAAGAGUAUGAGGAGGGGUGAUUAAGCACCCGCACUUUGCAUAGAAAGAUGCGAGCUUAGAGUAAAUUCUGUUGCUCACGAGCAACCUCUUCAUAUCUUUGUAGUCCAUUGUUCUGACAUCAUCUCCAAACACACUUGUUGCUCUCAUCGAUUCAACCAUCUCUGUUCUGCAGUAACUGUCGAUAAGGGGAGAAUCGGUUUCCACAUUAAUGCACCCCUUGAAAGGCCCAAUGUAAUGUGACUGUUUCAUCGGUUUGUGCCUUUCCCUCAGUGAAGAGGACUGCCGAUGAUGAAUUCGGUGCGCCUUUUUGUUUGGUAUAUCCUUGUCAGGACGCAGUGACAAAUAGAACGGAUCGAGGCUGUAAGCAGAUGGAUGGACCGAAGAUUGCAUUAGAGCAGACAGGGAGUGGCCCUUGGAAAAACAUGUGGGAUGGAUUUCCUCUAAUUCAAACUUAUCUUGGUCACCCCCAAAAGCAUGCAUCAUUUUCUCAAGAAUCGUGAAAAGCGAUCUGGCGAGGAGUCGAACGGUAUAGUCAUAAGUUCUGUUCCAAGGAGACAACUCACGGAGAUUACGCACCACCUGAAUCUGCCACAUCGCCUUCUGCUGAAACUCAAACAGUUUGACGUGGUGCGACAUGGGAUUGGCCUUCAUCCUCCUAACUGUCUGUUGAAGCUCCGCCAGCGCCUCCUGCUCUUGGGUCAACUGCAGCGUGACGGCAAUAAACCUUUCCAUUUUCUUCACUCUUCUGUCCAUCUUCUUCCAUUUGUACUCCCAACCAAACCAUUUGAUGUAGUUGUUCAUUGGGUCAUCGAAGAAGCUUCUAAUUUGGUGGUACACAGGAUCGGCACACCUCCUCGCAAGCCUGACCACCGCCCUGGCCACGUACACGAAAUUGUCGAUGAUCUCGUCCAGCACGAGACUCAUGAUGUACCUAUCAUCUUCACUCACAAGCUUCCUGAUGCCCACGGAUCUCGCCAUCUCUUCUCUCAACCGCAGAAUCUCGACAUCGCUCAAGCAAUGCCAUAACUUAACCACUUUGGACAUUAGGCUCACGACCUCGAAAGACAAAAUCCCAAUCGUGGCUUUCUCAUGCUCUUGCGCCUUGUACCGCGAGCCCCGCCAGAAAUUGCCCAACCAUGAUUCGGUCACCCUUUCACCUCCCAUUGAAAUGCUCCCAGUGGGAUCAAGCAGAGAUAAGUACCUGGUAAGCACCUAGUAAUUUCGACAAGCUUCUUGGUUCCUGUACCCGUAUGAAAACCCAACCAAAUCAGGUGACAGAAGAAAAAUGCUAAAACGCAACUCCAUCAAAGCCACAAUCGAUUUAGACAUUGAACCAAAUGUCUACGCAAAAGAGACAUUAAGUUAAACCAACCACAUUCACGAUGCCAACUUUCCCAGGGAAACUUCUUUUUCUUUUUUCUUUUUUCUUUUUUCUUGAAAUAGCAACAGCAGAAGAGUCGCACAAUCAAGAAUCACAAACGAAACUCUACUGAACCGAUCCUUUCGUCUAAACCGGAUGUGGCAAUACGCUUGUUUUUCCAAGACAUUUCUCUGCUUACAUAUAUUCACAUCCAAGACAACGACGUUAAUCCAGGAACCAAGCCAGCACCAUAGUCAAACAAUAUGCAGGAGAGCGCGUGAAGAAGACAACUCACUGCCNNNNNNNNNNNNNNNNNNNNNNNNNNNNNNNNNNNNNNNNNNNNNNNNNNNNNNNNNNNNNNNNNNNNNNNNNNNNNNNNNNNNNNNNNNNNNNNNNNNNNNNNNNNNNNNNNNNNNNNNNNNNNNNNNNNNNNNNNNNNNNNNNNNNNNNNNNNNNNNNNNNNNNNNNNNNNNNNNNNNNNNNNNNNNNNNNNNNNNNNNNNNNNNNNNNNNNNNNNNNNNNNNNNNNNNNNNNNNNNNNNNNNNNNNNNNNNNNNNNNNNNNNNNNNNNNNNNNNNNNNNNNNNNNNNNNNNNNNNNNNNNNNNNNNNNNNNNNNNNNNGUCGCGCAUUGUGAGGUGAUGCCGGCCGUGAAAUAAGAGGAUGGCAUUGCCAAAUAAAAAAGAAGAAGAGGGAAUGGGGAUAAAAGAGGAGUGAGGACGAAAGUCAUUCAAACCGAGGAAGGAUCCAAGGGAUCAUUUGGGGUUUAUGCUAUGCGAUUUCUCAUUUGGAUCUCCCGGUGUUAACAACACACGAGAGAACAAAUCCAAGUACAAUCAUAAUGAAUGUUCCUGUCGUGCUUCUGUCGUUUCCGCGGCGCUUACGAUGCCGUCGCCCUCCUCCCCACAGUUCGCACGACCACGCCAUUAACCGUGGGCCGGAACCAUCGCUCAUGGCUCCUCUUAAACUAGACUUUAAUUUUAUUUUUAGUUUUAUUUUUUGGCUCUAUUACGGAAAGUUGGAACUACUAACUCAGCGUUGCCCGCCCGCGUGAUAAAUCUUCCGCAAAAGAAAUUUACACUCUGGUUUGUAGCCAUGUGCUCUAAUCUUCUGGGCUACAAAAUCAGCCUCAGCUGGUUGUUACUCACAUUGCAAUUUGCUUCACUUGGUAUUACGAUCUGUUAUUUGCACCUUACAUUUUGUUAGGUGAUCCACAAUGGUACGGUGUCGGUGUCGAAAACCUCCAUCAAUAGGGCUCUAAUUUUAUCCGAUCAGAAUGCAGAUAUGUCCCUCGAAUAGGUUUUGUAGAAGUGGUGUUUUUCCCUGUCUGAGUUUCCUUAAACAAGUUUUUUAUUGAUGAGUUACAAGUGUGGAUGCAGUUUACAUGAAAAAUUAAGUCUAGAUAAAGUAUGUUAAUUGAAUGGUCUUUUUGGAAUCUUUUUCUCUCUCAACCAAAUGUUGAAUUCAUCGACAUCGAUUCACUUGUUAAGACAAGCAAAGCUCAUCUUUAGUGUAACAUGGGUCUGCCACCGUAUACAUAGUGUUUACUUUGGACAUUAAGUUCUCACGAUUUUGUUAUUCUCGAGACAUCGCAUAUUAUUUCAAGAAAACGUGUAUGUAUAGUUAAAGAACCUAAAACUUUAUAAGUCAGUUUAGGACUCUCUCCUAAGUGAUGUGAGAUAGGGGACAUGUGCUUAGCCUCAUCCGUGUAUGGUGUACCAUCGAGAUGCCAUCCCUCUAUAUUGCCUGGGUAUGGGUCAUCACAUUUAGAAGUCUCCAACUCCAUUUUACAGUUGGCCUCUGCCUGGCCGGCUCUCCUCCAACGAAGCUGCUCUCCUCUCAUGCUCAUAAAUAUGCAAUUAUAAUAGGAGUAAGAUUUAUUUUGUAUUUUUUUUUUAAUUUCUCAAUGUUUUUAUGUUUCCGACUAUGUAACUGCUGAUAUAAAGCACAUAUCUUUUCGUGUAUUAUUCUAGAUGUUAUGUGGUAUUGCCAUAACUAUGGAAUCUAUAGAAAUGGCAUUUCCAGAUUGACGGUGGUUCCAAGAGCCUAAAAGGUAGGUAGGUUUCUAGUUCUAGUUCUUUGGAACCGUUGCCCGUGAAAAAGAUUUCAAGGUUGGACAAAUGUAGCAUCGAGUGAUCGUCAAUUGUGGGAACGUCUAUGGAUUGUUCUUAUCUAAGGAAAUCGAUGACAUUCAUUAUAAAAUUUAAAUAUUAAACAAUGUUUUGAUCUAGCAUAUCAUACUUCUCGUAGUUAUUAGUGGAUUUUAGAUGAUAUCAAAUGGAGUUCUUAAUUAAAAAAUCACCAAAAGUCUCUUAUUAAAAAAAAAUUGUCCACUCAAUCAUAAACAUAUAUACCGACACCAAUUCAAUCAUAAACUUUUAAUUUUGCAUUUAGCCUAAAACUUUAUGCGAAAUGCCAAGUAUACCUUCUUGUCAAUUUUUGCCCUAAGGAGUAUGCCACGUAGGACAAGCGGCGAUGACGAGACCACCACGUUAACGUCGGAAUGAUUAUAUUGAAAUUCUCUGUGCAAAGAUUUUAAACUGAAUUAGCAAAAUUGAAAAGUUUAGAACUAAAUUGACAUAUGUACAGUAAGUUUAGGACUGAUUGUGUAAUUUUCUUGUCCCUUAUUUAUCUCCACUAGUCUCAGUAUCCACGGUUUAUAGGGCCAAAUCGCAGCCACCGCGAGAGGUUGUUGCUACAUUUAAAGUCAGGCCAAUUUACUAAAAGACCAUAGUUAUUUUUGAAAAGUAUUUCAAUCCCCACAGAAACUCAAAGAAGAAUAUACAUAUGUAUUGAAACAAAAAUAUACACCCACUCAGACAUUGAGGUAAUUGGUAAUAUACAGACAAACCUAAACAAUUAUAAGAGACUUAAAAUCACGUAGUUAAAACUUAAAGGCCACAAUUAAGAUCCUAUACCGCACCUAAUUGACUCCAAAUUAUUGAAUUACAAGAGACAUUCACAAACAUGCCGACAGGGAAGGACAAAGCAACACGAAUUUUCUCCGCAUAAAUCAUGUAAUCCCCCGAAAUAACGCCAAACUAAGCGUACAUCGAAGCGCCUUAGCUUUGGAUGUGCGGCAGGACAAGACGAUUAGAAACGUGAUUCUUGAGAUGACUCUUUGCAACUUCUAAAUCGACAUGCAUAUGUAUUGGACCCUUGGUUUUGAGUAGCUCGCAUAGUUCUUUUCGAUGAGCACGCGUUGAUAUCAACUUAUGUGGCGUCACAUCAAGGACUCUUGAUGUUUGCUAUGAGAUUUUGUUCUUCUCUUGUUGCUCAAUGAUGAGAGGAAUAUGCGGUAACUUCGCACUUGUUAAUUUGGAAACCAUAGGGAGCAACGGUGACCCCGACAAGGAAAAGCUUGGGCGGAUCUUGAGCUGCUUAUUUUUGUUGGGCGACCUUUGUUUUGCCCUCCGGCUUUUCUCGAAUCCGAAAGGUCAAAGUUCGAUACGAAAUAGAGCGUUGUUCCAUUUUCGACACGAUCGUGUCAUCACGAGGAGGAGAAGUACGAUGGAGUUGCGACAUCGGGGCCAGUGGGAUUGGGAUUUCUUGUUCACGACAGCCCAAUAGGAAUGCUUGUGGCCAAACUGGAAACAACGAAACGGAAGACCGUUCAUGGUGAGGAGCAAAACAAAAACGAGUCUUCCCAAUUUGAAUCAUGUGAAGAGUUAUUCUAUACGUUCAAAUUUUAUAAAGAUUUUAAACGUUUUUGCGUCUCAUAUUUUAUAUAUUUCAAUAACAAUAAAAGCGAAAAAUAAAAAGCCAAAAGUCAAAAACCGGCUGUCCCAACGUUACCCUAAUUUUUCUUAUCAUUAAUAGGCACAACCACGUGAGGUACACACAGCACACACUUGACAAAUGCAUAAGACACGCAAACAUUUGGUUACUAUUCUAUUCUGUCAGUAACUAACAAAUUAAUUAGUUUUAUUUGACUAAUUGAUUUGUUAUGUGUUAGACUAAUUUAUUAGAACUCAGUUUUAAUUAGUUUUUUUUAUUAUACGACAGGUUUGAGCCCAACCUAAACUGGACGGAAAUAGACUUUUUUCCGGUAAAGCCUAUAAUGAUGGUGGACCUCUUAGGUUGAUUGACUACGAGGCCCACGGGUAAUGGGUAGGUCACCAAAGUUAGAUGGAUCUCAACUUAUCACGAGCUUAACAAGCAAGUAUACUGUUUGAAAUAUUUUCAUUAGAUCAAAUUGCACAUAAUUAUUUUACGGGAGUUUUUUCUUUAUGUUCUUGUGUUUAUGAAAUAUUUUCCAAAUUAGUAACAAAUAUCCAGUAUAAAGUGUUUGUGAAGCACCCCAAUCUAAUUAAUAUUGAGCAGUUUGAAAAAAACAUAAUAUCUUUGCAAGGUUGCUUGACUAAUUUUAUGUGCAACUUAAUUUCAUUGUAAUUAGAAAAUCACACUCAAUUUUCCUGCACAUCUUGCAGUAUGGUGUUUGGGAAUGCUACAUAAACAAAACAACUGAGAUCGAUUAACAUUUCAGAUACCAAUAUUACCAACUUGAUUAAUUAAACUGACCAAAUUGGAUCUACGUAAGCAGCACAAUGACUAAACUGAACAAAAGAAGCAAAAUUUAAUAAUCAAAUUUAACAUCGCAUGCGUAUAGCAAAAGACCAUGUUACCCCUAAAAGUAAAAUGAGUUUGUCAAGGAAUAUUUAUCCAAGAAAUGGGUUUCGAUGACAAGGUUUACUGGUUAUAAUCAAAACAAAAGAAAAAUGCAUAUUCGAUGUCUUUAAUCAGGAGCCUAGCAUAAACUUUCUUUAUUUUUAUUUUUAUUUUUAUUUUUAGGUUCCAACUGAAGUCCUAGACAUUUCCAGCACCAUCUUCGUCACUCUCCGGCACCUUCUAGUAUCCCAAGUUCUCGAUUUUUCCUACAUAUAUAAAUAUGCUUAGACCAUCAAAGAGUCUUCGCCGACACAUCGACUAUUUCUAUCCGAAAAACACCACCCUUCUCGAGUUUGGUUCCUUCUUCCGAUCUGCGACAAGAUGAUGAAGCGUGUCGACCGCAGGAAAGAUACCACGACGCUCCCCGUCGUGACCCGCGAUGAGGAAGGCAAGAAGAGGGUGGCGAAGAUAGAGGUGGAGGCUCACAAAGUGGACACCGUCAAAUACUUAGAGAGGAAGCUGAUGGACAAGGGCGUGCAGCGGAUGGAGCGCCACCCUGCCGAUGGCCUUGGCGGCAUCGGCCGCCCACCGCCCAAGUCCGGUCGCGGCGGUAAGUACACGUGGGAGGGACCGGAGGAUCCAGCAGAGAGCGAGCUGGCCCCGACGCCACCGGCAAUAGACGAGAAGGAUCCGAACUACGUGGAUGAGGAAGCGGAGGAGAAGGUGAUCAGAGGGGAGGACGGGGAGGUGGCCGGGCUGGUGGUGGGGGAGGUGGAGGUGCCCAAGGCUCACGAGGUCGGGGUCGCGAGGAUCGAAGUUGAUCCUAACUUGAAGGUGUUUCAACAGGAGGAUUGAGUAGUUUGAUGAGAAUGUACAUUUUUUAGGAUUUACGUCGACGUCCUCGACUAAUCCCAUCUUAUCUUCUUCAGUUAUGUCUUUGGAUUCCGCGUAUAUGUAACGUCUUUCGUUUUAUAGUGUCUUCAACUCGAGACAGGGAUUUUGGAUUUGCUUUUGCAGCAUGCCAGAACAGACCCAAAUUGAUUUUCUUGGACAAACCGAAAGAAGUAUCUUUUGAGACCAAAAUUUGUUUUGCAUAGGUCAGUGAUUGCAGCUUUUGUUCUGUCACUUUUGAUUAUGAACAACUUCAAGACAUAUUCCUGUAAAGCAGCGCCAUCUCUUGACCUAAACCAUCACUUCUAUAAAAUCACUAAUAUAGUGUACCAAGAGAUAAUCCGAGCGCUAACAGCAAUAGGCCACUUGUCAUCAGUGAUUGAACCGUCUGAUAUUUUAAAAUUAAAAAUUACAUAUAUGGUCCGCAAGAAGAACGGAAAAGGGAGGAAAUGGCCCAAGUGAAGGUGGACCACUUGCAAGUGGCCUCACAACAAAAUCGCCUUCACUCCACUUUGGAUUUUGGGCAUUAACUUUAGACUCUCCCAAACUCAUCUCUAUUCCUCCUGCAACGGAGCUUUGAUGAAAUCACUCGACGAAAAGCUUUAGAAACAAACUCAUUUUCUGGACUCUAUCGAUGUCCCGAGUUGUCCUCAGAUGUCACUUUUCUAACCCGCACCGAAGCCUUCGAGAGCAGCUGGUAAGGGCUCUUCGAUCUUUCGUUCGUGCGCCACCGCGCUCGCGUGCCGCCCGAGUCUCUCUAUCAACGUCCGUAGGUUGAGUAAGUUUUUCCUUCAUGACUCCGAUCGCAUUUCCCCUGGGAUGAAGAUGUUGCGCUUCGCCGCCUUCGCCCAAUUAAAUCACAUCGUGAUGGUUUUGAUUUGCACUUCAUCAUUCUCAUUAUACAGAGUGGAAAUCAAAUUUACACGGCCGCUCUAUCGAAAUCACACCUUGCAACCUCAAAGUCCUUAGCCAUCUCCGCCAUGCGAGCCUCUUCCUCUUCAUAUUCACUUGCCUUCACUUUGAUCAGUUCCACUUUCUUCUGCUCAUGUUUCUCUGCUUCGCUCCCCCUUCCUUGCGUCUCUAUGUCAAAUUUUAUAAUUUUAUGAUGAUAUUAAGGUUCCAUUCAUUUCACGAAAGAUAAAUUCGAGAAAAAUAUUUUUUGAAUUUUUCGACGUUCGUUUCAUGAAAAAAAAAAAUUAGUUUCAGAAAACAUUCUCUAUUAAGAAAAAUUAGUCUUUUAGGAUAAGAGAAAAUAUUCUCCACUUAUGAGAAAAAGGAAAAUAUUUUUCAUUUUUUCUUUCACCUCAUUUUCCUUCAUCAAAUACCUUUUCAUUUUAUUUUUUAUUUUCUUAAAUUGAGUUUUAAUUAUUUUUAUUCUUUUUCUUUUUGUUUCCGUUUCUUUCUUUUUCUUUUUCUUCUUCAUUGAUUAGUCCGGCCAUAGUGACGGUUGGCAACCAACCACGAGUGAACUGGAACAUCGCCACAUGGUGGCGAGGUUGAACUUGCCCGAUGCCAACAAGCUCGAGGCCCACUAGAUCUAGCCACCUAGGCAAGGCUUCGCCGACGUUUGGGGACCUUGAGUUAGGCAUGGGUCCCGUGCAGCUCGCUAAAUUUGGUGAGGCCCUAGCUCUCCCAACCGGCCUCAAGCAAGCUCGGGUCUCACCAAAUCCAGUCACAAUCUAGGUCGACAUCAAGUUGACCUCAAUCUGGACCCUCAAUUUGCUACAAACAAGUUCUAUGUAAAGCUUGAGCUCGGCACCACUCCAAGCUCACAUGGCCUAGCUCAAAAUAGGGUUCACGGCCAUGCGAGCUCCAUUCUAGCUUGAGUUUGAGGUCGUAUAGCCAAGUUCUAUAUAGAGCUGGCACUGGAGCUUGAUGUGGGUGGGAGGUGGCGAGUGCGUUUGAGUGAUAAUGAUGUGAUGUAUGAGAUUACGAUAACUCCCAAGACCUAAAGGAGACCCCACCUGUCGAGCAAAAACUGAGAUUGACGAAAUUCACCACAGGGCUUAAAAGGACAAGCUAGAUGUCUCUUCUAGAUAGGAAAAACUUAUUAACAGUGCUUAGAAAAAUCACCAAUCAAGAAUAGAGCUUCUUAGCUCAUGAAGGAGCAAGCAUCAAUCUAGGGUCAACUCUAGACUGGCCUUAGAUCGGUCUAACUCUGCCAAUCCUAAUUUGGUUCUUAGGGAAUUGGGUCAGUACUUGAUCUCGAAACCUCAAAACCCUACAUUAUACGAGUUGAUCCUUGGUUUUGAGAGUUUAGAGUUUGUUUAACCGAACCAACCCUGGAGAUAUUAUAUAUUAGAUAUAAUAUAUAUUUAAUAUGUUAUAUAUAAUAUUCUUUUAUCUAUUCUAAAAUUUAUAAUCCUAACUUAAUAUAACUCCUCUAGCAUUCUAUUUUGUCCUCUUUUUUCUUUUCUAUUUUCUUCUCCAUUUUUUAUCUUUGUCAAGUAAAUUAGAAAGAACAAAACCCUAAUUAGAAAUUUAUAAAUCCUCUUCAUGAGCAACACUCGACGCUCGCCACAUUCCCCGCUCGCUGCUUGCCACUCAUCCCUUGUUGCACCACUUGCCCCUCACCUCGUGUGGGACCAGUCCAACCCAAAUCAUGCCCGCCCCUAAUUAACAAGAUGUGAAUUUAUAUAUUUAUGGUUUAUAUUAAGUAAUUUGAACUUCUUAUGGUUUCAUUAUACUUCAUUGAUAAGUUUCACCUACAUUGUAGUCCAGAAUUAUCUUCUCUUAAACUUCCCAUCUCAUCCCAUUUCUCAAACAAAAUAGUGACUCGAAGACAAAUCAAAAGUAAGGGAGUUAUGACACGCACCGGCGAUGGAAACACUUUGUCUCCAUAAGCAAGCUUGAUUUUUUUUUUUUUUUUAUAUCUUAAAUUGAUGUUGGAUAUAUAUUGAUGUUUACAAUUUGAUUGAUCAAAUCAACGCCGCAUUAUUGAUAGAUUUGUAAUUUCAAAUGGCAGAUUUGUCUUUUUAGAUAAUAGAAAAAAUGAAAAAAAAAAUUAUUGGUUGAUUUCAAGUUAAUCCUGAAACUGGAGCAGACACAUAAAAUCUGUCCGGUCCUCGAUCCUAAACUUAACAAGAUCAAUUAAGAUCAAUUCUCGAUCCUAAAAAUUGAAGAUCAAUACUGUGCAAUCCUAAAAAUUGAAGAUCAAUACUGUGCAAGUUAAUCCUGAGUUAAAUGUUGGACUAACCCAAUCCAACCGAAUCAUGCUUAGUCCAACCGAAUCAUGCUCACCCUUAUUCAUAACCGAAGAAGAAUCCACCAACCAAGGUUAAGAUCACCAGUUAAGGAUAAAGCUUCUUAGGAAGAAUCCACCGACCAAGGUUAAAAGAUUGAUAUUGCCCUUUGUUCUUUUUGGACGGAAUGUGAAUUUGCCGUUGGUCAGUACCGUUCUUCACGAAAUCAAUUCUGUGACAGUUCCCUUAUCUUUCAGAUGAAAAUGCUGCAAGUUCUGCACGAAUCGCCUUAUUCAUAACAUCAAAAGCCUUUUCAGCUCUUGAAAUUGUGCAGAACUGGAAGAGGAUUUGCCAGUGGCCAAUGCAAUCUGUUCCGACUCCCGCAUUUACAAUUCAAUUCAAUAAUUUCUCUCCACCCACAAAUCACUGAUUGUCGCUCAAUCCAACAUUCAGUCGCCUAAGCCACACGGAAUGAAGUAUCAUGUGAAACACAUCAUAUCUCUUGGGCGGAGAGUGAACCUCGAAAUGCCGUCGGACCUGCGCGACCCUCCUCUGCAUCCUUAUGUACUGCCUUGACGAGAUGCUAGCGAGUAUCGUCUUCAGAUUCGGGAUCUCCCUCACAGUAACCUCGACCGAGAACGACCUCCAGUUCAAGACGUCGCUGAACGGGGGCACGUAGUGGUCUGAGAUCAGCACCGGCACACAUCCCGUGUAGAUAGCCUCCACCACUCUCGGGCUCGCAACCUCGUAGCCACUCGGGCAAAUGCAGAACUUGCUCCUUCUCAUCAUGUCGUAGUAAGACACGCCUCGAGGGAGGUACCGAUGGACCUUCACGUCCUCGUCCUUGUUUUCCCAGUGCUGAAGGAGAAUAGGCCUGAUGGGCCCGUGAAGCCCGCCGGCAAAGAAUGCCAAUAUUGAGCGGUGCGACGGCGAUGGCCCCCCAAUUAGGCCACUUAUCGCGCCGGUGUGGAGAUUUACUUCUGGAAACGAGACAUCCUUGGACGGGUCGAAGCCUUCGGAGGUAUUUGCAUUACACAAGACUCUGAUCGAGUUCCUUUGAAGAUGUGGAACAGCAAAGGAAGCCUCUGGCCCCUGCAAAAGAAUCUCAGCUUUCAAGGUACUCAAGUGUUACUCAUGUUGUCCUCAAAGUCUCAUGCAUUUUUUUGUUCUUGCAUGCGUCGAGUGAGCAAUCUAGACGAUAAAUCAAAGACCUACCCAGUCAUGACAGGCCAGCAUAAAAUGAUCAGCGCCCAAGCUGCGAUUCCAAUAUGGGUACUUGCUCGCCACAACAUCGAUGUAGUCAAUCACGGUUCGCUUUAUGGGGCCGAAAUCAUGCGAAUCCCGUACAUACACGAACUGGACCAUCAUCGCCACACUGAAAGGGAGGAAGAAGACGUGUGCUUUGCGGGGAUCUCCGGUGCGGAAUCGCUUGUUUAUUUCGACCAUGUGGAUGAAAUUACCUUCCUUAGCAUAUAUGCUCUUGCAAGGACCGUUGUGGAAUACAGGGGGAUCACCCUCCUUGUAAACAAAUAUCUUAAACUGCUUUUCCAUUUCUAGGUAACUCCUGCAGUUGGAAUUCGAGUCUUUUAUCAGAUGUGAAAUGUCAAAGGGUCCAUCAAUGUGUUCCAUACAGAAUCAAACAAAAUUUUUAUGUUACCUGUUUUUCUUGUUUUUUGUAAAUUCUAUGAAAUAUUAGAAGCAAGAUAUAUGUCCUUCCACUGACGUGAUAUUAACUAAAAUUAAGAGGCAAACAUUCCACCCGAGGGUAUUGUAGUCAAAAAAGCCUAUUCCAGAUCAGUUGUUAAUGCUCUUAAUUUCUCCAUCAAGACCCACUGAUCUUCCAUAGCUUCUUAUCUAAAGAUGCAAUAAAUUGCGUCCCAGUGGUUGGUGAUCACUGAUGUUUAAUGACUUGUGCAAAUCUACGGAGACAUCCCAUUAAUUGGGUCAAUGUUGGAUGAUCUGAUAGUGUCGCUCUUCAGUUAACGUACAACCACUUUUUUGUCCGCAUCAACAUGACGGUGUUACAGCCUCGUUCUCCAAUUUAUCUUAAUUUCUAUCCCUCACUUUGUAAUUUAAUCCAAGUACAUGUCAAUAGGUAAAGGUUGGGAACAACGCCAAAGAAAAAAGCGAAAGCCUUGUACGUACUUAGAUCCCAACUAAAUGAAUCCUAAUUGUAAGUUUGACUGAUUAUACGACAUUGCUAAGUUCAUUCAUCAGAGACUUGGGAAUACAGUACCUGUGAAAGGCAUUGGCAUUCCUGUACAUUGGACCUACGGGGACAUAGUCUGGGUCCUCCAUCGGGUUCCCAGUCUUAGCUUCUCUAAUCCCGGAUCUGGCUCUUCUUAGCCCCGCUUCUAGCCUCUCUAAAUCAGUGUCUACCCUUUUUUGCCACGCUUUCUCAACAAAACCAUAAGACUCAUUAAAAGCGGGCACAUUAUUGCGGGCGACAUUUACGGAAAAGUCUGAGGUACCUUCCUUUGUGGCGCUCUGCAUAAAUGUAGGCAUGAAUCAGCUUCGUAUUACCAAAUUGAGGGAUGCAAAUAAAUUGAGGGAGGGCACUUCAGAAAUGCUAACAAGGAACCAUACUAGCAGUGGCGGUCACUAUCAGUUACCAAUAAUGAAACUCUCACUAAAUGAGGAAAUACUUUACGUAAGGUGAUCACAAAGCGGAGUGGAAACUAAGGUGCCAUCAGUUACUAACAUAAAUGCAGGCAGAUUUCAUUAUCUUGUUCCAACACUGGGUUGCCUCCUGUGCUCAGCAGACACUCUUGAAGGUCAUUUCUGAGCAUAAAUCAAGACAAAUUUUGCAGAGAGAGAGAGAGAGGGAGGGAGGGAGUCUACGCUGUCACAUAGCAGAGAGGCUUAUGAAGUUUGGCACUGACACCAAUUAUAGACUCUACUUAGGUUUCUCAACAGAGCAAUGAAACAAAACAGGAUGCAACCAGGAAUGAUUUUACUAGUCCCAACAGGUUAAUUAAGCUUGUAAGAACUAAAACCCAGAGAGCUCUAUGAAGAGUUGAUGGGCAUUUAAGAAAUAAAAUCCAGAAAGCUUUAUGAAGAGUUGAUGGGCAUUUAAGAACUAAAACACAGAAAGCUUUAUGAGUCUCGUUCGUGCACGCAACCAAUUGAAGAGCUACUGCUAAGAAUUUUCAGGAUUAUUUAUGUAGGUAAUAUCUUGGCCCCAACAAAGGAAAAAAAAAGUGUGAACAGCGAAUUGCCUGUUACCCAAGCCAUCCCAUCAGUAAUUAACUGACUUAUCUAUAAAAUAAGCGUUCUGUGUACCGUAUAUCAAAUUACAUUUAAGAAAAGGGAAAUUACACUCGUUUUAUUUGGUGGCCUUUCAGCUGCAAGUGGCGGAGAAGCAGAGGGCUCAGGGGCCAAAGAAUCAUCUGAGACUGCUCUCUCCAUUUUCUGAACUCCGACCACCAUCAGCGGAGGGUCCGGCGCUGGAGGCCCCACCGCCGACCCACCACGGCCACUUCCGCCGUCACCGGCCUCUGCAUGCAGAACGGGAAUCUGCAAAGCGGCAUCCAGGAUUGGAGUCCGAGUGGGAGAGGAGUAAGAGCGAGAGGAGCUCCAUAACCACGAGUACGCGGAUACCAGAUCCCCGGCCGGUGACUUCCGCGGAGCGGCGACCGCAACGAGUCCCGCCACUGCAACCAGCGGCACCAUGAGAAGAAGGAGCUUUGUCGACGGUGACACGAACCAACAUGCACGAAGCUUCUUCUCACAAUCCAUCUCUCUCUCUCUCUCUCUCUCUCUCUCUCUCUCUCUCUCUCUCUCUCUCGCUGUGCAAUAUUGCAGGGGCCAAGAAGUGGAAAAGAUGAAGAUGGUCGUGCUAACGUUGGUAAUGUGGACUUGCCAAGUGUUUUGCUCUGGCUCUGAAUCUAACUGGGACUAGGAAGGAAAGAACCCACUUGGACAUUAAUGGUUUGCUCAACCGUGCCAAGCGUCGUCGUGCCCGGACCUCAAUCUAUGAGUUUCGCAUGCAAACUUUUCCUAUUCCCCGCUCUGCCCUUCCUUAAAUUUCUUUUCCUGGAUUCAUUCCGAAAAGAAAAGUGUAAUCUUUUGCUCUCUUUUUCACGUAAAGAAAAAGGUUUAGAUUGCUCAUGAAGGGUCGAGUGCGUAGUGGGGGAAAGAAAAUUUUUUUAGAAACGUCGGAAAUAGAGAAAUAUUUUUCGUAUAAACUUUUUUAUUAGAACGGAGUAAGCGGAGUUAUCGAUAUCAAACACUUUAUACACCUCCGAGCUUUACUUCUGCUAGUCCGACGUCCCUUUUUUGUCAAAAAAAAAAAAAAAACUAUUCAUUAUCAAACUAAUACAUGAAAAGAAAUCUCAAAAAUCUCUUUUAUAAGGUCAGAAUACCAACAAAAAAAAAAAAUCUAAGAAAAGUGAGAAGAAGAAAAGGAAGAUCGGAUUUUUGGAAAAAUAUAAAUAUAAAAAAUUCCUUGAUUAUUGGAGUAUUGCAUAUUUAUCCCUUAUCUUUCACCUAUUAGGAUGGAUUCGCUCGAUUUCCAUUUCUCAAUGUCUCAGAUUUUAUCGAAUCAUUAAUUUGAAAGCUUUCAAGUUUUGAAACAAUUUUAGUUUGUUUUCGUUAUAAAUUUAAUAAAAUUCAUGAAUAUAUUUUUCAUUACUUAUUUAAAACCUGGACAAAAUAUCAAAAAAAUCAUAAACAUAUUACAUUGAUACCAAUUUAAUCCUAACAUUUUAUAUUUAUAUCAAUUGAAUUCAUCCGGUUAAUUUUAACCGGAAAUCGUUGACCAAGGCGAUCAUUGUACAUGGCACGAUUGGUGCUAAUGUAAACAAAUUUUACAAAUUUUUAAUAUUUUUCUAAAUUUUUUAUUAUUUCCAUUCAAAACCAUUACGUCUAUUUUUUUCGUGAAGAAUACAAGAGGCUUCUAGUGUACUUUUUUCGCUAUAUUAUCCUAAAUCUUUACUCAAUUUCUAGGGGAGACGUCAUUCUUUUGGGUGUUAUUUUUGCAACUUGAAAAUGCCACUACACAUUUACAAUAUUCAACUCAUUGCAUGAAAUUUAUUCAAUUAGACCAAGGAUUUACUCAGUUAAUCCCUGUCAAAUCGAUGCUUGUAUAUUCAUAGGACAAUUGCAUUUAUAAAGUAAUUGCGCUUCUUCCAGAAGAAAGAUUUCUCUUACAAGUAAAAACAACAAUUGCAUAAAUAGGCGUAUUAGUUCUUCACAUUACAAUUAUAUGAUGCUGAAAUUUAGUUCGUACUUUGUAAAUUUCAGCAGGAAAUGUUAUACUAUUCUUUUUACAAUCCAAGAGCAUGGGUGCACGAAUCUAACAAUGUGGAAGCAGAUGAUACAUCUUUCACGUUCCAUAAAACAUCAAUUCCAAAUCUUUAGCAAAGUCACUAAAAGGAAGAUGGAGUCUAGAAAAGAUUAACUUCUGCCAAAAGAAGUGCCACAACACUAUUGAUCGGUGAUAUGGUACUGUUUGUUCACAAUGUAAGAUGUUACUUUAUGAAACUAAAGCAAUCUAUCUAGGCUUAUACAAUUAUAUGCAAUUUAUACAGACCUUUGAUUGCUAUUUUUCAGAUUGCCUAAGAAAUAUAUAUACACGUACUAUCUUGCGGGCAUUCGUUAAGCAUACUACAUGAGAAAUUAUUGAAAAUAAUCAGUACAUUCGAAAUUGCAAUAUUUCUCUAACAGUCCAUCAAAUGCUCUCAUGACGCUUUUUAACGAGAUCCUAUAUAUACGAAGCAAAGAGAACUCCAAAGGGCAAUUUCGCCAUGGGAGCAGCAGGUCUUGGAUGAUCUAGCCCGUUGGCUGGCCUGCCUCUCUCGUGCGCACCGCCCCUCUCAUUUACAGCAGUGACGGUCAAAAACCGUCGGAGCGAGGAUAAAUUUACGAGCGACCGUCCCCGCCCGCUUCGCUGAUCAUGAUGUCCCCCCGUCUACGGGACGGAAUCGUCUCCAGAUAAUUACGUAUUAACCUCGUUGCACCUCCCAACAAUUUCUUAUUCUCCUUCUUUUUACGUUUUUAUUGACGCUUUCAUCGGAGACCCAGUUCAAAUGAUUUUUCACGGCACGUUCUGUUCGUCUUUGUCCCCUUACGAUGUGAUGACCCAUUUCUUUAGAAAGACUUCAAAAGACUUCUUCAUUUUUCUCGCCUCAACCCCACGUCCCAAGCUCUGUUUCUCUAAAGUAAUAAAUUUGCAUCUUGAGGUUAUAUUAUUGAACAUCAAAUUACAUCUCAUGUUGAUUUUGCUAACAAGCAUCUCAAGAUACUUGUUAAGCACACGCGGUCAAUGAAAAUAUUCUAUUUUUCAAAGUGUUGAUUGUGCAUAUUACAAGAGCAGUUAGUACAUUGAGAAUGACAAUAUUUCUCUAAGUGCUCUAAUUCUCUUUUUAUAUAUAGGAUAAAUGACAUGAAUAGUGAUUGAACUUUAGUUGAAUAUAUAACGUGGUCUCUAAACUUUAAAUUUCUUCAAUAUGGUUAGUCCAAUGUGUAAUGCCGUUCUUAUUAAACUUUAACCCAUCAUAUAAUGUGAUCCUUGAAUUUUAAAUUUCUUCAAUGUGAUUAGUCUGAUGUGUAAUGUCGUUCUUGAAUUUUUUUAUUAAUCCUUGGACUGCAUGAAAAAAAAUUAGGUAAUAGUGUCCCCAAAUGACGUCGUUAGAGCCUCGAGGGGCACUUUACAAGAAUGCCACAUUUGCCAAUUUUGAAAAGAUGUUUCUGCACGUGACAUCACUGAACAAAAGGACAGAAGCCCAUUGGCCACAUUCACCCUUCGGAACCAGGAGCUGAGGGUUUCGACCGUCACCCCUUGCAGUCCGUCCACAUAGCGAUGCGAAAAUGACGGUGCUGGUUAAUCAGGCAUGCGAAUGCUGAGUCCAAUUCAUCUUAGGAUGCUCACCUCAGAUUCAUCCAAGUGCAACGAAAGAGCUCUAUUGCAACUCGUGGAGAGUUUGCCCACGGUAAUCGACAUAUAUAUUGCCCUACCAAUCAUGGUUGAAAGCAAAUGCUUUGUUAGAAAAGUAGCAGCAUAUGUAAUGUACUGUAGCGGAACAAGGCAAACAAGACAAUCCUUGGCCAAUCACCUCAUAAAAUGGCUCUCGCUCUCUCACUUCAAGGUACAACAUCAUUUGGUAGCCUUUACAAUUGCAGAAGAGAAACUUUUCCCCUCUACACUUGUAUCCCAUGUUUCACUAAGAGAAACCUUCCCUACCUGUAUCCCUGGUUCAGCAUACAUUUGUCAUUAUAUUAGUUGCUGCCACUUAUAUAGUUGGUUUUACUUCAUGUAGAACAUCAUAUGUUUAAUCACUCUUACCAUUUUAUAUAUUAUUUAUAUAUCAUUUGGGGUAAAAAGGUUUUCCGAAAUAUUACACUGCUUGGUAAAUUGUAAUUUCAAAUAAUAUUGAAAAAUAACUUUGGCAUAAGUACCGUUCGGUAAAACCCAUAUUUAUAAUAGGCUUUUGCUAUAUUUCUUUCUCUCUCUCAAGUUCGAAAAUUAACUCUAGUUAAGGUUAGUCGUCGCUAACUGCCGAACAACCACCAAACGGUUAGAGUACCAAAUCAAGCUAUCGGACGGCUAGAUCUCAUGGCUUGAGGUCACGCAAACCUCAGGCAAGGUUGCUUUAGGUUGCACGACCUCAAGCAUCGAUGCUACAUAGGGUUGUGUGGACCCAGGUGGCAUCACUUGAGUCGCGGGUUGCGCCACCCUUGGCAAUGGUCAUUAGGGACAUGCAACCCCUAGGCGACAGUGAUGGUUGCCGAAGAAGCUUGACUUAGGCGGCAAAUCGAGGAAGAUGAACAGCCGUGAUGAAUGGGGAAGAAGAUGGACAAUGACAGAUGAAUAGUAGACUUAACAUUUCCGAAAUGCUAAAAGCUCAAAGUAGGUCUCUAUUUGCAUUGGACUUUAGUAUUCGGAAUGCUAGCAUUUGGUUAAGGGAUUCUAAAAAAUACUUGCUAAACGCUUUAUAUUUUCCCCCAAAACCCCUUGCAAAUGCUUAACAAAAUAGGCCAUAAUUCCCUCAAUUUAAAAAAGAUUAUGUGAAUCCUCCAUGCAAUAGGAUCUUCGAUGUGAGAGCAACUUGACGCCCUAUGGAAACCGAAGGCACAAAAACCACCUAACCAUCUCUAAGAAUAGCUAGUCAUCUUAAUGGGAAUCACGCCAUCAAAUAUAUACCAACUCGACAUAAUAGAUCGUAUGGUAUACUCAUGAAACUGCAAAAGACAAAGAUCAAAUUUUGCCUCCAGUUUCAUAAAAUCAUUAAGUUUGACCUAGGAUGGAUCGAUACUUAAGCAAAGGCUGACCAGCCAAAUCAUUAAAUUUUGUAAACAAUGUUUUGAUCUAGCAUAUCAUACUUCUCGUAGUUAUUAGUGGAUUUUAGAUGAUAUCAAAUGGAGUUCUUAAUUAAAAAAAUCACCGCAAGUCUCUUAUUAAAAAAAUUAUCCAAUCAAUUAUAAACCUAUUAUACGGAUACUAAUUCAAUCAUAAACUUUUUAAUUUUGCAAUUUAGUCUAAAACUUUAUGCGAAAUGCCAAGUAUACCUUCUAGUCAGUUUUUGCCCUAAAGAGUAUGCCACGUAGGACAAGUGGCGAUGACGAGACCACUGCAUUAGUGACUUCCAGCAAAAAUUGAUCGGAAUGAUUAUAUUGAAAUUCUUUGUGCAAAGAUUUAAAAUUGAAUUGGCAAAAUUGAAAAAAUUUAGAAUUGAAUUGACAUAUGUACAAUAAGUUAGGACCAAUUGUGAAAUUUUCUUGUCCCUUAUUUAUCUCCACUAUUUUCAGUAUCCACGGUUUAUAGGGCCAAAUCGCAGCCACCGCGGGGAUUGUUGCUAUAUUUAAAAUCAGGACAAUUUACUAAAAGACCAUAGUUAUUUUUGAAAGGUAUUUUAAUCCCCACAGAAACUCAUAGAAGAAUAUACAUAUGUAUUGAAACAAAUAUACACUCACUCAAACAUUGAGGUAAUUACUAAACGAUUCUUACAGACAGACUUCGAGAAGCCAUCUCACUAAAAUACAGACAAACCUAAACAAUUAUAAGAGAAAAACCUUUGUUUUCUCCUUGUUUUUCUCUCGCACCUGCGAGCUCUCUCUCUACCCCAUGGUAGCGUUUCCCCCUUCUUCACAAUCCCUAAUCCCUUGAACCUGUGCUUGAUUGCGAGUUCCGAUUCCCCCCCCCCCCCCCAGUGAUCUCUUCCCCCUCGUACACUAAAAGAGAAAGGAAAAAAAAAAACUAACGAAUGAUGCCAUCUCCGAUGAAGUGGAAGCAUGGAGACCCCAUCAGGCAGGAGAGAAUGGAAUAAAAAGCAUCUCUCAGGUGAAGCGCCGAUCCACUGUUCCCAGUCCUGAUCUCCGCAGAAUCGGCAUAAUUCCGUGAGUCUUCGAACUUUGUCUUGUCUGGGUGAGGAACCCGCGGAGGUAGCGUCAAACUUGAAAUCGGGUAGAAUCGUGAAUGUUGAUCGAUUGAGCAUCACAGAAAACAGUGGAUAGUUAGAAACAAUGGAGAGUAAGGAAGAAAAUGAGUUGAGAAUGGCAGCAUUAUGUAAAAGCCUAGGGUACCUGUGGUCUGAGGAAGAUGUAGUUGAAGUGUUUGAUGAAAUACCUCAUCAGAAAAAGGAGGAAUGCAGGCGUACUCUCUUCGGCAAAUUAUUUUCCAAACCAAAUGUGAACUAUCCUGCAUUUAUAAAUACAAUGACAAAAGCAUGGAAGGCAGAAGGAGUCAUCUGCUCGCAAAAGGAACCGGGGCUAUUCACCUUCGUAUUUCCAACGGAGGAGGAAAAACAGCGAAUCUUAAGGAACUCACCUUGGUCAUAUUCAACCAACCUGCUCGUGCUACAGCAAUGUCUUCCAGAAGUCCCAGAGCAUUGUUAUGACUUCUCUAAGGCAGCCUUCUGGGUGCGUAUUGAAGGAGUCCCCCCUGGUUGGAGAAUAGAAAAAGUUUACAAUGACCUGGGGAAAAGGCUGGGGAAGGUUAUUGAAGUCCAAUUGGACACAACAACUCAUGUUCAGAAUAGAGGAGGUCGAGUCAGAGUUGAAAUUGAUCUGACAUUACCGCUGAAAGCAGGAGCUGUUCUGGAUAUUGGAAACAAAUGCCUCUGGGUGGAGUUUAAAUACGAGCGCCUCCCACACUUCUGCUUCUCCUGUGGAAGGAUCGGACACUAUGCUACUGACUGUCUUCAACUCCCAUACGUAACAUCACCCUGGGCGUUGAACAAGAAAGGGUCACAUGGACCCUGGCUAAAGGCUGAAACCAGUGAUCACAGCCCCUAUUGGGAUGCAUUCUACGGCAAACUAGAGGAGUUAGUAGUGGAAGAAACUCUACCUGUUCCGUCAUCUGAACCAGGGGAGGGGAAAUCCCCAGAGCAAGAACCAACUACUGAUAUGCAACUUGUCGUAUGCAGCAAGAAGCGACCCGAAAGAUGUUCAGAACAGAUGACACAUCCAGCAAAAGAUCCUACAGCAGGAGAAGAUAAGGAUCGAGGAAAACAGGUUAUAAACCUUGAAACUCAAAAUCCACUGGUAUUGAAAAUCGGGAAAAGUAGUAAGAAGACAAUGAAAGUUCAGAAAGCAAAAAAACAGAAAUGCAUGCCAGAAAUAUCAUCCCUCAUCCCAGAUGAUGUCGAUCUAAUGGAAACCCCAGUGAAUCUGAUACAGGAAGGACUAAAUUGGGCUUUGGUGGCUAGCCCUAAUAAGCCACCACAAAAGCCAUGAAAAUAGUGAGUUGGAAUUGUCAGGGGCUGGGUACCCCCCUGACAAUUCGGGAAUUACGAGCUUUGAUAGCUCUUGAAAGGCCCAAGUUACUUUUUCUUAUGGAGACGAAAAACACAGCUACCAGGGUGGAAAGAAUCUGCAAAAAGUUCCCGUUUCAGCAACGAUACUUAGUGGAGCCAACAGGAAUAGCGGGGGGAUUGGCAAUUAUGUGGCAAGAGGAAGUCAGUCUAAAGGUGCAACACAGCUCUAAACACUUCAUUGAUGUACAGUGUAUCGAUCCAGAAAGUAAACAGAAAAUGCAGAUCACCUUUGUACAUGCAUCCACUGAUUUUGGAGAGAGGAUGGCAUUAUGGCAACUACUGGGAACAUUUAAACCUUCAGCUUCUAUUCCCUGGAUCUGCAUGGGAGAUUUCAAUGAGAUACUAUAUAUAUGGGAGAAAGUUGGGAAAAAGGAGGCAGAUAAUCGAAGAAUCACAGCUUUCAGAAACAUGAUAAAUGACUUAUCCCUGAUGGAUGUCGAGAGCCAUGGAUGUGCAUUCACAUGGACUAAUAAAAGGGAGGGGGCCGAGCUGGUUAAAAAGCGACUUGACCGAGUACUUUGUAAUCUAGAGUGGCGAAUCACCUUUCAUGAAGCAGAAGUACAAGCCCUUCCUGCAAUCGGAUCAGAUCACAGCCCCCUAAUUCUUUGACUGCAUCCUAAAAUACAAAAAAGGAAAAAACAGUUUAAAUUGGAAACUUUCUGGACCGAACAUGCAAAAUAUCAGGAAGUCAUCAAGCAAGCCUGGGAAGAUAAAUCAUCUCAACAAUCUCUAUUUCCAGAGAAGUUAGGGAGGGCAUCGAAAGAAUUAAUGAAGUGGAGCAAAGAAAAGUUUGCAAACGCCUAUAUACAGAUCAAAGAGCUUAAUCAAGCUUUACAAUCAAUCACGAAUCAAAAAACUCAGCACACAAGCAGACAGGAAGUGCAGCAGAUUAUCAGCCAGAUAGCCACUUUGAGAAAACAUGAAGAACAAUUCUGGGGAAUGAGGUCACGAAUCAAAUGGCUACAUUGGGGAGACCAAAACACCAGAUUCUUUCAUGCCACGACAAUCCAAAGGCGACAAAACAAUCGAAUUACAAUGCUACAAUUAGAAGAUCAAAGCUGGUGCAGAGAACCAACAAGGAUACAGCAACACAUCAAAGCUUUCUAUGAGAAUCUAUACAGCUCUGAUGGUCCCCGACAUUAUCAACCGAUCCUAGACCAAUGUCCCUCACCGAUAACAGAGAGUAUCAAUGAAGAAUUAGUAGCUAUACCUCUAUGGGAAGAAAUAAAGGAAGCAGUUUUCCAGCUGGGAGCUCUCAAGGCUCCAGGCCCAGAUGGCUUUCAUGGUGUUUUCUAUCAACAGUCAUGGGAAACUAUUAAGACUGACCUGUUGAAGCUUGUGCAGGAGUUUUUCGAGACUAGUGUUCUUGACCACAGACUUAACCAAACACAUAUCGUGUUGAUCCCAAAAGUCAAAAACCCUGAAACCAUCAGCCAAUAUAGACCCAUUAGCUUGUGUAACUUCAGCUACAAAGUCAUAUCAAAACUAUUAGCAAACAGACUAAAGAAAUGGCUGCCACUUAUCAUUGAACCAGAGCAGGGAGCUUUCGUUUCGGGGAGGCAAAUCCAGGACAAUAUCUUCAUAGUCCAGGAAGUUCUGCAUCAGCUGCGCAUAACCAAAAAGAAGACAAAACAUCACGCAAUUGUGAAGCUUGAUAUGCAGAAAGCAUACGAUCGAAUCGAAUGGGAUUUUGUGCGAGAUCUAAUGUUGCAUAUGGGAUUUGAAGUUAAAUGGGUCUCCCUAAUCAUGCAAUGCAUAACAACAGUCUCUUUUAACUUAAAGAUAAAUGGCGAACCAACCUCUCUCUUCCAUCCUUCAAGGGGACUCAGACAAGGGGAUCCAUUAUCACCCUAUAUCUUCAUCCUCAUCUCCAAUGUCUUAACCUAGAUGAUGAAGAAAGCAUUAGCAGAAGGCACACUCAAAGGCAUACAGGUAAACAAACACUGUCCUAAACUAUCACAUUUGCUGUUCGCCGAUGACGUUAUAUGUUUUCUAGAUGGAACCAUUACAGAGUGCCAGAACCUCCACCUCAUACUAAACCAAUACUGCUAUGCUACGGGACAAGCUAUUAAUUUGAAUAAAUCAGGGGUUUUUUUCAGUAGGCAUUGUCCAAAAGUUUUGAAACACAAUUUGGCGAUGGAAUUGAGAGUUCCUAUCCUACAGAAAACAGGAAAAUACCUGGGCAUACCGACUGAGUGGGGCCAAUCCAAGAAAGAGAUGUUUUCGUGGAUCAUGGCUAGAGUAAACUCUAAGUUAGUAGGAUGGAAAGAAAAAAUGCUUACAAAGGCAGGUAAGGAGGUGCUUAUCAAAAGUGUCGUGCAAUCCCUUCCUACCUAUGCCAUGUCCACCUUCAAGCUGCCAUUAUCGAUCUGUCGAGCCAUAGAACAACGUAUUGCGUCUUUCUGGUGGCAGAAUGGUGAUGCUAAAAGAGGCCUGCAUUGGAAAAGCUGGGAACUGUUAAAGACUCGAAAAGAUGCAGGGGGAAUGGGGUUUAAGGAUCUGAUUACCUUUAAUCGAGCCAUGCUAGGCAAACAGGCCUGGCGAUUAGCUACCUCCCCUCAAGCCCUAUGGAGCAGAGUAUUGAAAGGGCUUUAUUUUCCCGACGGAGAUAUCUGGCAUGCUUCCAAGGGUAGUCGCCCAUCAUGGGGAUGGCAAAGCAUCCUACUCGGCCGCGACACAAUAAAGAACAAGAUGAAAUGGUCAGUAGGAGACGGGACAUCUAUUCGCAUAAAAGAAGAUAGAUGGCUGUCACAAGGAGUAAUUGGUGGGGCAGUAAACCAAACUGAGCCUAAAAUUGUGUCAGAACUGAUCAAUCCAGAAUCAAAUGACUGGAACCAGCCACUCAUAUACCAACUUUAUGAAGAAAAAAUUGCAAACGAGAUCACCGCCAUCCCCCUUACCCAGCCACCACAGAAAGACACGAUUAUAUGGACAGGGAACAGCUCAGGACAAUAUUCGGUCAAGAGCGGCUACAACGAAGCACGAAAAGCUACCAGCAAUACAGAUCAGAAUCGACCCUCCUGCUCUUACCAACCCCCACGUACCUUAUGGACACAAAUGUGGAGUCUCGAUGUGCCCCCAAAAAUUCGCUCCUUCCUCUGGAGUAUUUGCCAGAACGCCCUCCCGACGAAGGAAAACCUAUUCAGAAGGAAAAUUGUUAGUGACCCCCGAUGCCCUAUAUGCUAUUCGAGUACAGAAACAACAGAACACUUGCUGUUCUUCUGCAAGUGGACAAAAAAAAUCUGGCAAGACCCAAUUUUUGCAACGAUCAGGCCAAAUAAUGGCCUCCAACGCACGGAUCAGUGGCUUACAAGUGCCUUUCGAAGAGACAGGAACUUACCCGAGCGAGAGCUGGUCAGUCUGGUUCUGUGGAACAUCUGGAAGGCGCGAAACAACCGGAUCUUUCGUGCGCAGGAACCCCGACCAGCAGAUCUGCUGCUUGCAGCACAGGAACAACAGUACUCGUUCAGCAAGAGCACAUCAAACAGAAGAGAGAGAUCUCCCAAUCGAAGCAAACCUGGUCCGUGGAGGCCUCCGGAAGGGCAAAAUCUGAAGAUGAACGUCGAUGCAUCGUGGCAACCCGGUGAUCUCCUCUGCUCUGUCGCCGGAGUGGUUCGCGAUGCCGAGGGAAGGAUGAUUGAAGGUUUUGGGGCCACAGCUAGGGUUUCCUCCGCAAGUGAAGGGGAAACUCAAGCAAUAUUACACGGGAUAUCGUAUAUGAACGAACUCAACUCCAAACACGUGCGGGACUUCGGAAGCAACCUGACAGGAAAGUGUUUAAUUGAAAGCGAUUGUUCCGUAGUGGUAGACAUGGUGAUGGGCCGGGCCGACCCUCCAUGGGAUCUAAAAGAACUCGUUCAGAGAUGCAAAAAUGGGCUUCAGCAGGACAACAAUAUUAUGGUGACCUAUAGUCCUCGCCACACAAAUGCAGCGGCAGAUUGGGUAGCACGACAUCAUCGACUAAAUGACCUUCCUCGCAAUUGGGUCUCUUCUCCCCCUGGUUCCUUAUGGAAUAUUUUAUGCGCAGAUCUCUCACCUUCGGUGGUUUGUAAGACUCCUAUUUAAUCUAGUAAUAGUCACUCCUUUGUUGUCCAAAAAAAAAAAAAAAAAACAAUUAUAAGAGACUUAAAAUCACGUAGUUAAAACUUAAAGGCCACAAUUAAGAUCCUAUACCGCACCUAAUUGACUCCAAAUUAUUGAAUUACAAGAGACAUUCACAAACAUGCCGACAGGGAAGGACGAAGCAACACGAGUUUUCUCCGCGUAAAUCAUGUAAUCCCCCGAAAUAACAACAAACUAAGCGUAUAUCGAAGCGCCUUAGCUUUGGAUGUGCGGCAGGACAAGACAAUUAGAAACGUGAUUCUUGAGAUGACUCUCUGCAACUUCUAAAUCGACUUGGAUUAUGUAUUGGGCCCUUGGUUUUGAAUAGCUCGCAUAGUUCUUUUCGAUGACCACGCGUUGAUAUCAACUUCUGAGGCGUCGUCACAUCAAGGACUCUUGAUUUUGUCACAUCUACAAGUGCAGAUACGCACAAAAGCAAGACGGGGCAAGACCAGAAUCAUGUCUCAUUCGGCCAUUGGAGAGAGAGAGAGGUUGCUGCUGAGAGAAACCGGAGACAAACGAGAGGAUGAUGAUAUCUGGCCGAGGAGAGCUUCGUGGGUGAGAAGCUGGUGAGAGUAGAACAUUCUUCUUGCUUGCACCGCCUGGAACUUUCACAGAAGAGGGAAAGCUUGAAGGAAAUACAGGGAGCGUUCACUGAAGGAAAGCAAAAGGGGGGCUCAUUGGUUUUUUGGGGAAUCGCAGAAGGCUGGAUCAAAAAGUUUUGGGGUUCUUUGGAAGCUGUCCUCACACAGAAACGGGAGCGGCAUCUUUUCUUUCUUGGCUGAAACCAUAUCGCAAGAGGGGAGAGAGAGGAACGCUUUGACGAAGAGAGAUUUCAGAGGGAGAAGGGGAGAGGCGACAGGAAAAAAAGAGAGCGGGGGCUUUUCUUUUUCUGGAAGCGCCGCUCCUUCUCCUUAGACAGACUUGACCAAGCCACCUCGACCAUCUCCAUCCUUCUUCCCAUCUCUCACCACUCUCAGUGCGGCCGCCACAAAGAGCGUUCUCUCGGGUUUAGUCCUCGACCUUGAAGGCUCCAAGCGGAUUUUCUUUCGAAGCCCGUGCUCGUCCCCACGAGCGACGUUUCCCCGGCUCUCCUCGCACCAGCCGCCCAUUUUCUCGAGCUUUGCCGACGAACACGCAGCAGCCGCGACGCCACUUACUGAUCAGCUAAGCAUCUCGCUCCCCCAGACGUCCUGUUUUUUCUUCAUGCCGAUCGGGAAUUAAGAACAGAAAUUUCAAUCAAUGAGAUCGUGGUCUAAUCUUGUGAAACCGAGAUAUACUUGUGAGAGACAAUGUUAUUUGGAGUGUGAUAUGUCAUUUUUAGACCGAAAAUCAUAUCAAAAUCGGAUCGGAGGCUUGUUCUUGGUACUGCACGUCACAUAUUUGAUACAAUACCUGAAUGAUAUACUGAGAUCCAUGCUAUCCGAUCGACGUUAGAAGUUUAAUUUAAUGCGUUAUUGUCCUUAUAUUGUAAAGGAAGUCUGAUUUUUGUGUCUCUCGUUGUGUUUUUAUGCGAUUUCGUGGAAACUAAUGGUUCGUCGUCGAGUUGGCCGUAAAUCCUCCUCUCCGACGGAAAUCUUCCCCUCGCCGGCGUGCCCUGCGGUUCAAGGCCACCCCAGUCAGUUCGUCUCUCUGAUUUGUAGUGCACUGGUGAUUAUAUGCUUGCUAGAAAGGCUAGGAUGGAAGAAAUUAAUCUUGUGUGGAUAUUUUCCGUUGAUUAUUGCGAUCGCCGGAGUAAGCUUCCGGAGUUGGUGACCGUCGGUCGGAGCAGGUGACUACCGGUUGGUGUUGGUUCGGUGGCGACGUGUAUGCCGGCGACGACGCGUAUAGAGGUUGAUUCGCCAAUAAUUCUGGUUCGGUUAAGUUGCAGAAGGAAAAGAGAUUCGGGGAAGAAGAAGGCGCGAGGUUGAAGAAGAAGGUGCAGGGGAAAAAGACAAAACAAGGAAGAAGACAAAAGGGAACGAAUAAAAGAAAUUAAGAAAAUCAUAUAAAAAUGUUUUUUUUUCAAGAUAUAAAAAUGUUUAAACUUUCGGGUUUUUUAAUCUGAUCGGGCCGGAUCCGGCUUUUUGGGUCGGGUCAAUGGCUCGGAUUGGGUAAACCCGGUCCGGACCGUUCCUCGAAUAUAAUAAUAAAUUUUAAAAAUUAAAAAUUUCUUAAAAAAUAAAAAUUCAGAAAAUGAUAAAAUUUAAAAAAAUAUAUAUGAAAUAAUAAAAAUAUAAAAAAAUUCGAAAACCAUUAAAAAAUUUAGAAAGUUCUAAGAAAUUGUAACCCAAAAAUUAGACAAGCUUUAGGGCUUUACAAUAGGGAUUCUUGUUUUGGGUUGUGUUGUUUUAUUUAUAGGGACUUGUGUGCUUUCUUUCAUGGUUAUAAUUAAUUGUGCAUUUCAAAAUUUUGGAGGUUACUUUUCUACUCUAGAAUUGGUUAAGACAAACUUAGACUUUUUUCUAGAUAGGCUGCUAUGGCAUCAGUUAGGUACCGAAAGAGUAUUAAACUUAGGGUUAACAUAAUCAAGUCGAAUCUCUGGUUGCAUAAAUAAUAAGAUAUUAUCCUGUAUCUUAUUAGGUUUCUAGCCGACCCUAAAAGGGCUGGCGACUACUUAGUUAUAAUCUACAUAGGUUUAAUUGAUUAAAAACAUCAAAGCUCAACGUCAUGUGAGGUAUGGGCUUACAAAAGCCCGAGUAAAUGAAAAGCUCUCGUCUUGAAGUUGACAAUACCUCUAAAUCUAAUAGCUCUGCUCUUGUGAGGAGUUAAGUUGCAACAGUUAUCAAUUGUGCUAGUUAUCCAACUAGCAUAUGAAUACCUUUUUAGUACUAUUGGUUAUCUUUCAUAAAAAAAGACCAUAAGGCAUUUUUUUUAAUAAGCAAAAAUUCUACUUAUAACCUUCCAAUGCACAGUACUAGGGUUACUCGUAAAUCUUGACAAUUUACAAAUAAUAAAUGCUAUAUCUGGUUUAGUGCAAUUCAUAGUGUACAUCAGACUUUUAAUUGCACUAGCAUAUUUUGACUAUGCCAAUGGUUGCCUAAUAUAUUCCAUCAAUUUAAUUGAUACAUCAUAUAGUACAUUUGACUCUUUAAUUUCCAAAUACUAGUAUUUUUUAAAUGAUCUUCUUCACAUAGUAACAUUGACUUAAAGCAUAACCCCACGAUGUUUGAACACUUCGAUACAUAUAGUUGUAUCCACUUCUCUUAAAUCUUUCAUUUUAAACUAAGAAGAUGGAUACUUUUUAAUUUCAUUUAUGCCAAGCAUAUUUGUAUCACCAAUCAGAAUAUCAACUACAUAUAAGCAAAUUAUAACUCCAUACUCUUUAGUAAUUUUUGAGUAAAUGUACUUAUUAGCAUUGUCAUGUUUAAAUCCAUAUGGUGAAACCACCGAAUCAAAAUCUUCAUGCCGUUGUUUCGGUGCUUUCUUUGUCUAUGCUGAUGUUGCUAUUCUCAACAAAAUGCCCCUUAUUUACAACUUCUUUCAAAUAAUUAGCCUCACGAUCCUAAGAACCUUCCUCAAUUUGAAUGCAUUUUAUCAUAUUAUCCACAAUCAGGCUCUCAAUCAUAUGAAGAAGUUAAUUUCGAUAAUUAUUCCAAGUUUAAGGCAAUUUAGAAAUAAUUGUAGCAACUUGAAAAGGCUCAUAAACUUCAAUCAUAAAGUCUUUGAGUUUGGCAACAUAUAUUUAAAGUUGAUCCACUUGCUUAGCAACGGAUUUUCCAUUGAUCAUGGCAAAGUCAAAAUAUUUCAAAGCAGUAAUUCUAUCUACACCUUGUUUGUUAGCAUUGUAAUUUGGUCUCCAAGGCAUUCCAAAUGUCACUGGAAUUUGUGUAAGUUCGGAAAGUUUCAUAUAGACGAUCUGAUAGAGGAUUAAGAAUCCUUUCUUGGCACCUCCUUUCAUCAUCCUCACGCAUAGUUCAAAUAGAAGAAGAAUCAUAAUAUCCUUCCAAUGGAUGAAAAUAGUUCCAUCAUAAGGAUUGAUUUGCAAUUUGUCAAGAUUGCAAGCCCUUGAUGCAGCUGAUGUCUUCAUCUCCAUGAUAAUAAUACCUUAAGAUUGUUGGGGAAAUUUGUUUGGUGAAGAAAAUAGAGAUGUAAUAGUAGAUCAUUGAUACUUUGAUGUGUGAUGACAAUCACUGUUCUUAAGGUAUUAUUUGCAUUCCCUAUUGUUGCUGCCAAAUUUAGAACAAAUAUACUUCUAGGCUAUAUACCAAAGCCGCAGAAAAACGAGUUUAGCAGUUACUCAAAUCUCUCUUGGAAUUUCUCCUUUAAUGUGUUAAGGUUGCAUGUAUGAAAAGAGAAAAAGAGAGAGUUCUAAAGAAGAAGCAAUUAUGAAUAGUUGUGGUUAUUAUAAAUAAUAUGUGAAUUGGUCUCUAUUCACAGACAAUCAAUCAACACAUCUCUUGGAAAUAGAUACUUUAUCCAUAAUCAUUACCACACUUCAUGUUAAGAAUCACUUCCUUUCAUAACUAACAUCUUUUUUUAUUAGGCUUCUCCUAACAAAGAGAUUUUUUUUUUUUUAUUUAUGAUAACAAACUAUUUUAAUAUUUACGCCAUGAAAGAGGCAUAACUUUAGACUUCUUAAUUACUACAACUUGCAUAGGUAAACAGAUGGCAUUUGGAUUUUUCAAAUGUAGUACCAUGUUUUUUAAAGGUUAGGAUGGCCCGUCAUAUCCAAUGAGUAAGACCUCGUAAAAGUGAAUCUAUAUUGUAAGUUCUAGUAUUUACAAAUCCGCAUGACGAUCCGUCAUUGCUAGGAACGUAUAUUACAUUUUCUUUUUUAAUUGGCAAUGCACACCAAUAUCUUUAAAGAUAUAUCAUCUCGAACAGCAACAUGUUGUGAAGUCGUAUAUUUCAUGAUUACAACCACUUGCAUAGGUUUACGACGGUUCCAUGCAACAAAUAGCAAACUGUUGUUAAGUUUGAUUUACGACAAUUUACAACUUGAUUUUGAGGCACUACCAUGCCUGCCACUUAUAGCUCCGGUGAUGCCGGGUGCGCCCAAUUCCUCUCCUCUUGAGAGUCCUCAUUUGUUGCUGAAUAGAAGUUCUAUAAUAUGCUUUUGAGUCUUUUAUAUUUUGGGAAAAUAGAUCUUGGUCCAUUGACUUCAUUAAGUAGUUCCUAUAAUAUCAAAUUGAUUUUAGAAACACUAGUCCUUAGCCUCGUCAGAAUUCGAAGAUGAGGUCUACGGUUUUAUAUAAGACAUGAUUCUGGUCUUGCCCCGUCUUGCUUUUGUGCGUAUCCGCACUUGUAGAUGUGGAUGCUUCUUGCGGAAAAUAUGGUUUGCAGGGCAUGUGAAUGCUUCAUGCAUUACAUUUGUUUUUAGUCAAUGUUGGCACUGGAAAGUUCAAUGGUGGGUCACAGUCUUCACUUCAGCACGAAAUUGAUUAUGCAUUCUACCGAACUUGCUUCAUUGCAAUAUAUUGAGUUUCCAGAGACGUGUUUGGCAUGCAACCACUUGAGUUUGAGAUGAAGUAAAUAUGUGCUGUUUUACAUCGAUUAUACAUUCUAAGGGAUUACUGUUCAUUGCAUCUCUAGUUUUACCCCUAAUGCUAAUGUUUCUAUUCAGAGCCAUGGAGCUUCAAAGUUGACUCACAAGAACUGGGAUGUUAUGCCAAAAUUGCUGCCAAACGUGUUUUACGUAAUUUCUAUUCCUCUUGCAAUUUUCAUCUUCACAUAAGGUGAGGAUGCCUUUUUAAUUUUAUUUUUUUUGUAAUAAGUAAUAAGCUGAGGAUACUUGAAUGCAAAUAAUUGGGUAUUUGUUGUGCAUCUGACAUGUGAAAUAAAAUGGUAUGUAGUCUUAUUGCUCUUUGUCUUAUCGAGUGCAAUGGCGUAAAAAAUUAUUCAUUUGUCCAAUCCUACUUAGCCGGCUGAGUUGUUGUCGUUGCUGCCGCUGUUCUGUGGCCGGCCUUUGUGAAGUCAAAUUUGGAAAAGAUUUAUAAUUGAAUUUAUCUUCUGGACAUUAUGUUCGCAUAAAUAUGUGUAGGACCUAAAGGGGCUGCUCAUGUAGACUGCACUUGAAACUCGUGCACGGGAAGACCAUCCCGAAAGGACUAAUGUUAGAUUGCACUUGAUAUUGUUUGUGCUUCUCUUUCAUUCAUUUAUGAUUGUGGUAAUUCCAUCCUCCGGAGCUCUCCUGCAUGUUUUUCCAUCUCACUCUGUUGCUUCAAUAACUUCAGUUUAUUACUUUUCAGUCUUGCUUUUGCUAUAAAUGAGUGGCUGAGCCCAGAGGUCCAAAAACUCCGAACAGUACGAGGGUCAAUUAGCGUGGCGCAAGUUAUGCUUGGCUAGGGAUCAAUAUAUAUACAACUUUUUUGUUGCCGGGUUACCGUAUACUUAGAUUGUCAAGAUUGUCGAGAGAAGACAUGAUUCCUAUAUGCCGUAAUAGGAUAAAUUUUACAACGGAUGAUGCAGAAAUAAACCAUUGGCAAUCACACGGGUUUUCAGUACUAUCUGUUCAGAUGAAUGUUUUUUGGAUUUCUUUGACUGGCUUAAGGUGUUCGUUCUUCUCUUGCAUUUUUCAGCUUGAUACUUAAGAGAUGCUCCUUUUGUUCGUCUUUCCCAAUGAAAAACUUGGAAGUUGAAGGAGCUUUGAUUUCUGAUUUAUGAAGCAGCGACAGUUUCUACUGGAGUCGAGCUGUGGAGUAGUGGUUAUCAUUUGACGCGUUCUUCUGGUAUUUCUAGUAAGCAAUCACUUUGUUAUUUCUUGAAAUGAGAACAAUGUAAAAAGAGCAGAGCUGGACGAAGACACCCACGUCUUCUAUUGUUCUUGCAUAUGGGCAUAUUGCAACAUAUUUCAUUAGUUAAGUACGGAGUAAGGUUAAUGUAAUUAUGCUAUUGAGUCAUUUUCUUCCCUCUUUGUUCUUAUCAGGCUUAUCACGGUGGAGUCUACCUGGGGUGCCCAUCACCCAAUCUUCUCUAAGUAGAUCUACUACAUUAUUCAUGUUCGGCUGAGCCACCCAUGUAUCGAUAAAAUGGAAUUUUCUCUAUUCGUAUCUGCAUCAUCUUUUAAGGGAGACAUACCCUUUUUAGUGUCUACCCUUUGUUUUGUUUUGUUUUGUUUUUUUUUUUUUUUGGGGGGGGGGGGGGGGGGGUUGUGAAUGGGAGGUAGAGUUGUCCUCGGCUAGGGCGACAUUUUGUUGGAGAAGAUCGCGAUUAUUAUGAUUUUAUUCUUGACUUAAUUUUUAAAGGGAAAAAGACAGAUAUGUGGAGAUAAAAUAGGAGAACAUAAUCAAAUUGUAAUCUUGAUCAUUCUUUCCUUAUUCUUUCAUGUGUACUAGUAAUAUGUACAUGUACAAGUGCUAUACAAGUGAAUGAAAUACGAGGCAUCCUCCCAAAUAUGUCUCAUCAUCACUUCCUUCAUGAUNNNNNNNNNNNNNNNNNNNNNNNNNNNNNNNNNNNNNNNNNNNNNNNNNNNNNNNNNNNNNNNNNNNNNNNNNNNNNNNNNNNNNNNNNNNNNNNNNNNNNNNNNNNNNNNNNNNNNNNNNNNNNNNNNNNNNNNNNNNNNNNNNNNNNNNNNNNNNNNNNNNNNNNNNNNNNNNNNNNNNNNNNNNNNNNNNNNNNNNNNNNNNNNNNNNNNNNNNNNNNNNNNNNNNNNNNNNNNNNNNNNNNNNNNNNNNNNNNNNNNNNNNNNNNNNNNNNNNNNNNNNNNNNNNNNNNNNNNNNNNNNNNNNNNNNNNNNNNNNNNNNNNNNNNNNNNNNNNNNNNNNNNNNNNNNNNNNNNNNNNNNNNNNNNNNNNNNNNNNNNNNNNNNNNNNNNNNNNNNNNNNNNNNNNNNNNNNNNNNNNNNNNNNNNNNNNNNNNNNNNNNNNNNNNNNNNNNNNNNNNNNNNNNNNNNNNNNNNNNNNNNNNNNNNNNNNNNNNNNNNNNNNNNNNNNNNNNNNNNNNNNNNNNNNNNNNNNNNNNNNNNNNNNNNNNNNNNNNNNNNNNNNNNNNNNNNNNNNNNNNNNNNNNNNNNNNNNNNNNNNNNNNNNNNNNNNNNNNNNNNNNNNNNNNNNNNNNNNNNNNNNNNNNNNNNNNNNNNNNNNNNNNNNNNNNNNNNNNNNNNNNNNNNNNNNNNNNNNNNNNNNNNNNNNNNNNNNNNNNNNNNNNNNNNNNNNNNNNNNNNNNNNNNNNNNNNNNNNNNNNNNNNNNNNNNNNNNNNNNNNNNNNNNNNNNNNNNNNNNNNNNNNNNNNNNNNNNNNNNNNNNNNNNNNNNNNNNNNNNNNNNNNNNNNNNNNNNNNNNNNNNNNNNNGACUCAGGCUCGGGCGAGGACGGCCCUUACCGGCGUUUGGCGAGGACGACCCUCGCUAGAUUUGGCGAGGGCAGGGACACCCUCACCCGAUGUAGGCGAGGGCGGCCCUCGCUGGUGUCUGGCAAAGGCAGGGACACCCUCGCCCGACACAGGCGUCAGGCGGCCCUCGCCGGCGUCGGGCGAGGACGGCCCUUGCCAGAUCUGGCGAGGGCACCCCUCGACUGACGCAGGCGAGGGCGGCCCUCACCCGACGCCGGCGAGGGCUGCCCUAGCCCGACGCCGGCGAGGGUGACCCUCGCCCGACGCUGAUGAGGGCAGCCCUCGCCAGACGCCGGCUUCCCUUCACCGGCCAGCUGGCAGAGGGAAGAGACAAGAAGAAUUUUUUUAAAAAAAAGGGCCGUUACUCUCCUUGGAAACGAUAUGGUCGUUCAUAAAGGGCCGUUACUCUCCUUGGAAAACAACGACAGUAAUGCAAGCAUUUUCCUAUACAGAACAUGUGGCUUGCUUAGCACGCAUUGGUUUUUGUUUUGAAACAAUAAGAGUUCUGUCUUUUAACGGUCAACGAUUAAACCAUACGCGGUGAGGACUGCCAUGUGGUGGGAAUUCGCUUGGAAAAAAUUGAGGGUUAUAGUGUCAUUCAGCUGAAUUUUCUUAGGAAAUUACAUGAGUUAAGUCUUAUCAAAGCUCCAUUUGUCAAUCAAAACUUGUGGACCAUAAAAGGGUUACACCACAUAUGACUUUCAAGUACUUUUCUUUGAAUUAUUGUAAGAGUAAGAAUUGGGCAAGAAAUAUCACAAAGCGAUGGAUGGUGUGCAUUUGUCCAUGUGCUCGGAGAUUAGGUAUGGAUAGACCCGUCAAAAUGGGUCAUGACUUUCAAGUUCUUUUCUCUGAAUUAUUGUAAGAGUAAGAAUUGGGCAAGAAAUAUCACAAAGUGAUGGACGGUGGGCAUUUGUCCAUGUGGUGGGCAUUUGUCCAUGUGCUCGGAGAUUAGGUGUGGCUAGACCCAUGAAAAUGGAUCAUUGAUGAAAAUUUUAAUCCAAUGUGGCCAUCUUCUCACCAUGCUUGAUGAGAAGAAAACCAUUCACCAUCUUUUCCAUCUUUUGGGGUUUCCUUUCCGAGCAAUUUUUUACUUUUUCCUUUGCCGUAUGGAUUGAUGAAGAGAAAGUUAAUGACCGCGGUUCAACCUUAAUCAUCUGGAUCAAUUCAUACGAAAUAUAUUAAUUUAAAAAUUCAUCACUCAAUACAUUAACAUAUCUAAAUUUCUUCAUUUAUUGAAAACCCUUAUGUGGUGGUAGAUGUUGAUCUUGUAUAGGGUGCUCCUAAUAUUUCUCAUUUUUCAUUUUUUGGUAGGUGAUGGGAUUUGUCCAUGCAAAAUAUACAAGAGUUUUGGAGAAAAGUACCCAAAAAUGUCCUAAAUUUAUUAUAUUAGUGCCAAUUUGAUCUCAAACUUUUUGAUUCGACCAAUUUAGUCCUUUACAUUUUCACGUUUUCAUCUUAUCAAUUUUGGUCAAAAAUCGCCAACUUGAACAUUUUUAAUAAUUUUUUUUGUUUUUCUUUUCUUUGUUAUUAUUAUUUUUUUCUUUUUUCUUUUUCUUUUUUAUUUUAUUUUUUGUAGCAAGAUUCGCAGCCCUUGCCAAAUUUAGUCAAGGGCUGCCUCGCCCAGGCCACUGCAAGAUUUGGGUAAGGGCAACCUCAACUGGAGCCGGCGAGGCUACAAAGGCCCCUCGCUCAUGGCCCACUAGUCACUAGCCAAGGACCUAUGCCUAGACUUGGCGAGGGCCAUGCCCUCACCCCGUCCCCAGUGACUCUCAUUAGCUAAAAUGAAAAGAAAAGAAAAGAAAAGAAAAGAAAAAUAAAUAAUAAUAAAAUAUAAUAAAUAAAUUUGCAAAAAUCAUUUACGUCAGUAUUGGUUGUGCCACGUAAAACGGACAUAGUCUACGUUAAUGAUUUCUACCCAAAACUGGCAUGUAGAACUCAAUUGACAAAUUCUAAAAAGGUUUAGUAUUAAAUUAGUAUAAUUACAAAGUUUAUGACUAAAUCGAUAUCUAUAUAAUAGAUUGAUGAUUUUUUGGUAUUUUCCCCAUUAGAAAAAGAUGCUUGCUCAUCGCUCCAAUGAUAACUUCAAUUAGGAGUCAUGCUCCUUGUUUAAGGAAUACAUGAAAUGGGUAAUGUGCAUAGUGUGAACUAAUUGAAGCUAUAGUUCAAACACUCAAAAUUUACUAAGGUAUCAACAAAGAAAUACAAUGGUUUGAGUACGAACACUCAAUGGAGGAUUUUUUUUUCUCUCACUAAGUCAUUCUUCUUGUGUUUUUCUCUCUUGAAUACAAUUUGUAAGCGUUGUCGAUGAAGAACAAGUGAUUGGAAAGGCUUCAAACUUUGAAAUUUCAAUUUUCACGAGCUAUCCCAAAUGGACCAAAUGACUUCCUUAAAUACUCCUAUAUGUCUUUCUAACUGUUGGUAUUCUUCAGAGGAAUUUCUUCCAAUCACUCCAUUGGACAAAAUCGAUUAAGGAAAUCUUGUAGCCGUUUGAAAAUUGAGAUGAAAAUCUGAUAAUUCAAAUCGCCCAUACAAUUAGAAUAUAAGUUUCCAUAAAUAGAUACUUUCCAAAAAGGAACUUGUCUUCAAAAUUGAUUUCAUCAAUUCGUGAUUGAUUCCAUCAAUAUAUUUAUAAAAAGUAAGUGAGAUUCUUCGCUAGAAAGCCAUAUAUUAAGGAUGAAUCUCGUACGUACUAAAUCCUUAUCGAAAGAUCAAUAAUCUAAGUCUUUGUUCUGGACUUGAUUUCAGUUUGGAUCUCAUCAGAGUGGGAAAGACUUCUGAAGUAAAAUAGACUUUGAUAACAUUCUACGAUAUAGCACAGAAGUCUAGUAUUCUUUAGAAUAAGAACAAGAAUAAGAAAGUUUUGUCAACUUCAAAACCUGAUAGAAGUUUCCUCAACAAACUUUAGGAUAUUCUCACCCAAUCUUUCUUAACAAGUCUCUAGACUUUAGGAUAUUAUUUCUCAAAGUAUUCUGAGUCUUCACAAUUUAAACAAUUGAGGGCAUUUUGAUCAACAGGUUUUGUAAAGAUCCUUUAAAAAUGCUUAUUAUAUGCAAGUUAAAGAGAGUCGCAAGUCUAGGAGGUCUUUGUCUAAGUCUCUCCUUCACUUUAGGAAAAUCUAUUAGAGAAUCACUUUCCUUAUUGAAAUCAAGUCCUGACUGUUGGAGAAAACUUCCUUGAGUGUUUUGAAGUUGACAAAACGUUUCCAUCAGUCUAGUCUGAAGACUUGCAGACUCUUCCAUCAAAGUCUAAAGACCUCCGGACUGCCAGACUCAAGACUCAAAGUCUAUCCUCAUUGACAGUUUCUAAACCGUUGAAGAAGGCUUAUCCAAAAUGAAGUAUUUCGUUAAUGAUUUGAUUCUGUUGUCUAAAGAAGAUCUCUUGAUUGGAUAUAGCAUGUCGGAAUCCAUUAUUCAAAUCAAGAUUGAUUCAGGGAUUUUGGAUCUGUUGAUUGACGAAGUAUACUUGGAAGGUUCUACUUAUGGAAACCUAGAUCCUGAUUGUAUGGGCGAGCAGGAUUGAUGGGCUAUCGUCAUGUUCCUUAAAUAGCUCGAAAAUCUUCCUAAUUGAUUAUGUCCAACGGGUAGAUUGAAAGAAUUCUUUUGGUAAGUGCCAACGGGUGUGAUGGCAUAAAGGAGUAUAUAAGGAAGACGUUCCAAUUGUUUGAGUGUGUGCGCGAUAGAAAAAUUUCAAAGUCUAAAGCUCUUUGUUCUUAGUCAAUUAAACUACUGAGCGAAAUCUUGUACGCAAAAGAGAGUCUAUAUUUUUUAGAGACUUUGAGGAAGUGUAGUAGAGUCUCUACACUGUGGAAUCAAGGAAGAGCUUUACUGUAACAACUCUUUUGUUCAUAGUGAAAUCUAGCCGGUGGGCUGUCAUUGCGGAAGAGUGGACGUAGCUUGGAUUAAGUCGAACCACUAUAAACUCUGUGUUCAUAUUCUCUUCCCUACGCUCUUUUAUUUUGAUCAUAACUCAAUUUGUUUACAAGAGUCUAAUUUCCUUUUCAUAAUCUAUUGCUGAUUUAAGUUGCAUACUUCACCUUUGGAAAUUUAUUUUUACACCUAUUCACCCCCCUCUAGGUGCUCAUACUAGCUUUCAAUAUUGGUAUCAAAGCCUGUGUACUCACUUAAGUUGAAGUGUUUUACUUCAGAGUUAAAGAUCCAUGGCUAGUAAGUUGGCUCCAGGACUGGUUGAAGGGCAAAGCAAUACCAGAUCGCCUUAUUUUGAUGGGAAGGAAUACAACAUAUGGAAAAACAAGAUGAAGGCAUUCCUAAGAUCAAAGGAUCAUCUGGAAUGGGAUGUGGUAGACAAAUGAAUCAUUCCUAAAGCUGCACCUAUCUUAGAAAGAGGAAAAGAAGCCGUUAAGUCUAGCGAAAUGACUCAAGAAGAGAUAACCAAGAGACAAGCUCUUGAUGCAAAAGUAAUUUAUUAUUUAUAUUGUGCAUUAUCACCUACUGAAUAUAACAGAAUAUCUUCUUGUGUUAUAGCUAAAGAAGUCUGGGAUAGAUUACACAUCACCUAUGAAGGAACUAAUCGAGUGAAAAAAAAAAACCAGAAUCAACAUUCUGCUCGGUCAAUACGAAGCAUUCAAAAUGAAAUCAGGAGAAUCUAUCACUGACAUGUUUAGUCGAUUUACAGAAAUUGUGAAUGGUCUUGAAAAUCAAAGUCAACUAAUUUCUGAUCCUGUGAAAGUUAACAAGCUACUGCAUGGACUCUCCAAGGAUUUGAAUCACAUAAAGACCUCAAUAAGGGAGACAUAAAGAAUUAUGCCACUUUCUGUUGAUGAAUUGGUUGGGACUCUUCAGUCUUAUGAAGUGGAGCGAAUCAACGAAGAUGAAGAUCCUAAAUGUAAGAAAUCCAUUGCAUUAAAAUCUAAUGAUGAUUAUGAUGUCACAGAUUCUGAAGAUGAUAUGGAUGAUGAAGAGCUUGCUCUCAUGAUAAGAAGAUUCAUAAAGCUAAACAUAAAGGGGAGAAGAUUCAAUCCAAAGAAACAAAGUUUUCAAAAGCAACAAUCUAAGACAGUUGAGGAUGAUGAAUCCAAUAAAGAUGUAGUCUGCUUUGAAUGUAAGAAAAAUGGACACAUCAGACCCAAUUGUCCCAUUCUGAGGAAAAAUAAAGGAAAAGUUGAGAAAUAUCGAAAGGCACUUAAAGCAUAAACUUGGAGUGAUACAGAAUGUGAGGAAAGUGAUGAUGAUUAUGCCAAUAUUUGUCUCAUGGCACAAUCAGACUCAGAUUCAGACAGUGAAUUUGAGGUAAGUAAUUUGAAUAUCCCUACUAAAGUCUCUAGAUACAUUGAUGAAUUGGGUUUUAGUCUCAAAACUUCUCUCAAAAGGAUUUCCGAACUCAAAAGAGAAAAUUCCGCACUAAAACAACAGGAAAAUGUUUGGAAAGAAAAGGUCAAAAGUCUAGACAAAAGUGUUACUACUUUGAAAGAAAAUGCAGACAAUCUUUCAAAAGAAAAUGCAUUCUUGAAAAAUGACAUCUCAAAUAUUUUUACAAGAUUUUCUAUAGGAUCUGAGAAACUUGAAAAAUUUCUUUCAGCACAAAGACCUUACUUCAACAAAUUAGGUUUAGGAAUGACUACUUAAACCAUUCCUCUAAUUGAUUUUUCUAAAGUAAAAGAAAGAAUUAAGCAAAGACCUACAAGAGAUGCUUACAAAAAUCAUUUUCAAAAAGUUUUUGUAAAACCAAUAGAUCGCAAUGCUCUUAAAUGUUCUAAGUGCAAUAGCUCAGAUCAUUUUGAGAAAGAAUGUCCUAUGGUUUGGAAACCUGUUAAGAAGGUAUGGGCAAAGACCGUAUAUUACACUAACACCAAUGGACCCAAGAAAUAUGGGUACCAAAGAAAGCUUGAGUCUCUUUUCUAAAUGCAGGUCACUAUCAAGAAAAAGAUUAAAUGGUACCUGGAUAAUGGAUGCUCAAUGCAUAUGACAGGAGAUUCAAAUUGCUUCAUAAAGCUUGUUCAAGUUAAUGGUGGAAAAGUUUCAUUUGGAGGAAACAGCAAAGGAAGAAUUGUGGGAUACGGAACUAUAAAGAUUGGAAGCCUCACGAUCAGUAAUGUUUCCUUAGUGGAAGGACUCAACUACAAUUUGCUAAGUAUCAGUCAGCUGUGCGACAUCGGUUUCAAAAUCAAUUUUCAAGAGGGAAUAUGUUCAGGAACUAGUAAAGACUCCUCUUAAUUUUUCACGGGUCAAAGACAUGGAAAUAUCUACCUCUUGGAUGUCAAACCAAAUGAAACCCAAUAUCUAAUCUCAAUUCAAGAAGAAGCAAACUUAUGGCACAGAAAACUCAGGCAUAUCAACAUGAAGCAAAUAGCAAAAAUUUCGACAAAAAAAGCUUGUUCGUGGUCUACCCAAUCUGUCAUACCAAAAGUCGGAUCUAUGCACACCAUGCGUGUUGGGAAAAUAGGUAAGAAACUCAUUCAAACCAAUAAAUCAAGUUUCCACUAAUCGUGUACUGCAGAGGGUGUAUUGUUUUGGGCAGAGUCCCCUGAAGUAAAGUGUGUGCCUUGUGAAAAACCUCUCCAUGGCUUUCUAAAUUCCUCUUCUUCUCUAGUCUGAUAGGAUCCUUCAAGAAAUGCAGCUUGGAUAGGUUAGAAACGUUUCCAUCCUGGCAUCUCUUAGUGUCUCUAGGCUCUGAACUAAAGGGCUGAGUAGUUUCUUAUUUUACAAAGUUUGCUAAAAAGGUCCAUAAUGAGAAAUGAUAUGUUAUUGCAACUAUACGGACAGACCAUAGAGGUGAAUUUGAAAAUCAAGACUUUACGAAAUUCUGUGAUGAAUCUGGUUUUCAGCAUGUGUUCUCUUCUCCAUAUACUCUAGAGCAAAAUGGAGUCGUGGAAAGAAAGAAUAGGUUGCUUCAAGAAAUUGCUAGAACUCUUUUAAUUGAAAGUAACAUCUCUUCACGUUUUUGGGCUGAAGCAGUUUCUACAUCAUGUUAUAUUAUUAAUAGAGUCUUUCUAAGGCUUAUUCUGGAGAAAACUCCCUACAAGUUAUUCAAAGGAAAGAAGCCCACUCUUUCAUAUUUUCAUAUGUUUGGAUAUAAAUGUUUUAUAUUGAAAAAUGCAAAUGAUCGAGUUGGUAAGUUUGAAGAAAAAUCAGAGGAAGGUAUUUUCCUUGGAUAUUCUAUCACAAGCAAAGCUUACAGAGUUUACACCAAGAAGACUCAAUCUGUGGAGGAAUCAAUGAAUGUCAAAUUUCAAGACUUUAUGCAAAAUGAGUCGAUUCAUACUCAUCUUGAAGAAUCCAAACUUGCUCUAGACUCUACAAAUUCUAAAUCUCCAGAAGCAGCUCAACCUUCAGAAGACGAGCAACAAAUGAUCAACGAAGAUUCAAAUAAGGAAAAAGAUCAACAGUCUGACAAAUCAACCAGCAACUGGAAGCAUAAGUCCAGUCAUCCCAAAGAUCUCAUUAUUAGUGAUAUUAAUGAAGGAAUUCGCACAAGAUCCAAAAGGCGUGAAGAGUCUACUGUUGUGGCUCUUAUUUCUGAAAUAGAACCCAAGAGCAUAGAAGAAGCUUUAACUGAUGAAAGCUAGAUUAAAGCUAUGCAAGAAGAACUCAGGCAAUUUAGCAUUAAUGAUGUCUGGGAAUUGACUCAUAAACUGAAAGGUAAAUCUAUCAUUGGAGCUAAAUGGGUUUUCAGGAAUAAGAUGAACGAGAAAGGAAAGGUCGUAAGAAACAAAGCAAGACUCGUGGCCAAGGGAUAUAUGCAAGAAGAAGGGAUAGACUAUGAUGAGACUUAUGCACCAGUAGCAAUGUUAGAAGCAAUUAGAUUAUUAUUUACUUUUGCUUGUCAUAAGAAUUUCAGGUUAUUCCAAAUGGACGUCAAAAGUGCUUUUCUAAAUGGAUUUAUCCAAGAGGAAGUCUAUGUGGAACAACCACCCGGUUUUGAAGACCCAAGGAAACCAGACUCUGUAUUCAGACUGAAAAAGGCCUUAUAUGAUUUAAAGCAAGCACCUCGAGCUUGGUAUGACAAACUAAGUAAGUUUUUAAUUCAGAACAGUUUUGUCAAAGGUGAAGUAGAUACUACAUUGUUUAUUAAAAGAGAAAGCAAAAAUUGUAUACUUGUUCAAAUUUAUGUUGAUGAUAUUAUUUUUGAAUCUUUUAAUAAAAGUCUGUGAAGAAAUUCUCUAAGUCUAUGCAGGAUGAGUUUGAAAUGAGUAUGAUGGGUGAACUAACCUUCUUUCUCGGGCUUCAAGUGAAACAACUGAAGGAGGGAAUCUUUAUUCAUCAAGAAAAGUAUGCCAAAAAACUUGUCAAAAAGUUUGAUUUGAAAUUGCAAAAAAAGACUGAUAUACCAAUGUCGAGUUCAUGAAGAUAGACAAAGAUGAAGGAGGAAAGAAAGUUGACCAGAAGCUAUACAGGAGUAUCAUUAGUUCACUUCUUUAUCUAACUGCUUCUAGACCUGACAUUUUGUUUAGUGUUUGUAUUUGUGUCAGAUUUCAAUCAGACCCUAAAGAAUCUCAUUUAAGUGCUGCAAAACGUGUCAUCAAAUACAUUACCUCAACUUCAAAUUUGGGUCUCUGGUAUCCUAAAGAAGGAGACUUUACUCUUCUUGGAUACUCAGACGCAGACCUAACUGGAUGCAGAGUUGAUAGAAAGAGCACCACGGGCACCUGUCAACUACUUGGAAGCAGGACAAUGUCUUGGUUUUUAAGGAAGCAAAGUACAGUAGCUCUUUCUACAGCAGAAGCAGAGUAUGUAGCUCUUGGAAGUUGUUGUUCACAAAUUCUGUGGAUAAAACAACAAUUAAGAGACUUUGGAAUUGAAGAUUCAUGCACUAAAAUCAAAUGUGACAACACCAGCGCAAUCAAUCUCACCAAGAAUCCGAUUCUUCAUUCAAGAGCAAAACAUAUAGAGAUUCAACAUCAUUUUAUUAAAGAUCAUGUUCAAAAUGGAGAAUUUUCAAUUCAGUUUAUUGAUUCAAAGAAUCAACUGGCGGAUAUAUUUACAAAGCCUUUGGAGAAAAAUCAAUUUGAAGUUAUUCGUUCCAAACUCAAUAUCUUAAAGUCUGAAGAAGUUCAGACUCAGGACUGAAAGUCUAAAGGCACUCCGAAUCAGACAAUCAAGAUCUACGAUUGUAAGUUAUUUCUAUUUUAGAAACUUAUCUCUCGGAUCAAAUCUUGAAAAGGUACGAUCAUCUAUCCAAAAUUAAUUGGUGUUAUUAUCCCAAUUUUUCGUGAUUAGUGCAAUCCUUCCUUUUCGAAAAAGAAUUUAUUUUUGAAAUGACAGUUAUCUAAUUUUUGAAAAGGCAAUUAUUUUUAAAAGGCAUUUUUUUUAUUAGGGGUGAUCGGUUCCCGGUUUGGUCCGGUUCCAAGGUGGAACCGGGAACCGGACCGGGAGAACCGGUUCCCAAUUUUGGGAACCGUGGACCGGACUGUUUGGUCCUAGGUCCGGGAACCGGACCGGACCAUCGGUUCCGGUCCGGUCCGGUCCGGUCCAACAAAUCGCUAAAGAAAAACCAUGCUCCGGACCGAUCAAUCAAAUUCGGUUCUCGAGCGUUCUAAUAAUACUACUCACACAUGUUUCCAUGCGCCACGUGCAAAAUAUUCACACUUCACUUGUGUGAAUAUCAAUCACAGUUUGUGUGUUUCACGCUUAAUUUUAAGCAUAAAAGCCAUGAACAAUUUGAUUAAAGGUUGUGCUUAGUUUAGGUUUUAUAGACAAUCUUUCUUCUAUGCUUUGAAUGUUUAGUCGAUAUCAGACUCUUUGAGGCUUGAAGUGCCUUGUUGUUUGCAAGUGAGGGGAGCAAGAGAGAGAGAGAGUGAGCACGAGGAACUCCUAGAGCCUUGUCUCACAUCAAGUAGAAAAUGAAACUAACAAGUAAGUUUUCUCUAUAAAUAAAGAGUAACGACAAAGCUUUGGUGGUCUCUUGGCCACAUAGAAGAUUGUUACCUCAAUUGCAAUUGUAAUUGCAAUAAGUUUCAUAUAUAAUAUUCAUAUAUUAUAUGUGUUUAUAUAUUAUAUGUAUAUAAAUUAUAUAUAUAAAAAAUUGGUCCAGUCCGGUCGGUCCGGUUCCCACCUUGGAACUGGGAACCGGACCGCCGACCAUGGGAACCGCCCAAAACCGGCCGGUCCGGUCCGGUCCGGUCCGGUCCAGUCCCGGUUUGGGCGGUUUCCGUUGCACACCCCUAUUUUUUAUAUUUUCUUUUUACAGCGUUUCGUAUGCCUCGCUUCGACUGCCUUAUAUACUGUCGGUUCUUCUUCGUUUUACUCACAAAAAUCCUAAGAGAGUACCGAUCUUCCACUUCUGUCUUCUUCUCUUGUUUAAUCCUUGAAAAUUUUUCAUCUUUCUUGGGAAACAAGCUUGGAAUCUCUCAAAGACUGUGAAAGAUGUUGUCCCAAAGAAAGUCUUCGAGGAUCGCGAACAGGGGACCACAACAAAUGCGUGAGGGGCCUACGCACUUCGAUCUCACCAAGGAAGAAGAAUCUACUAGACAGCAGUAGAGCCCACAACAUUUUCAACAGUGUCCAUCUCCUCCAUCUAGACCUCAGGAUGUUGCACAUCAAGAAAAGGAAGAAAUCAUUGAAGACGCAGAACCUGUAAGAACUCAUAAGCCCGCUUUUACCUAUAAGCUUUAUCGUGCUUUAAAGAGGAGUGGUACUCCGUUGAACUUCAUUGAUGAAAUUCUUAAAGACAAAUGGUAUAGAAUUGAAACUUUCUUUUUACACAUAAUGGAACGAUUGGGAAUUGCCCCUACUGGGUCGGCGGAAGAGGCAUUGGCAAAUAUCCCAAGCGAUCCACGUGUUGGAGGGCUGAGUCAACCAGAUGGGAAUGACGAUGAUAGGAUGUACAGUCAGUUUAAACCUAGAAUGGGUGUUGCAGCAAAAAUCCGAAGCAAAAGGAAGGAUUUGUUUCGAUCGGAGGAACACGAGCAACUGUACUCUAAGUUGCUGAAGCGUGGGGUGAUAAACCUUAGAAGUGUGGACUUUGAUUUUCUCAACUCUGUGAAUGUCAAUCUGCGGGAAAAAUUCAGUCUUCUUCAACUCGAAUAGUUUUGUUUUGAAACUACAGAAGCUCAUGCUGAACUUACUGCUUAUUUCUAUUCGAAUCUCAGUUUCUUGGAUGCGAAUAGAUUCUCUUUUAGUGUUCGAGAUCAGGACUAUGUGGUUGACAUGAAUACAUUGGCUGAUGUGAUUGGGGUUGAAAGAGGGAGAUAUCAACCUAUUAGUGUGUUUGUUGCUCAUGCAACGAUCGAGCUUGUUAAUGAUAGAACAACGGAAGGGAAGAUUUCCUAUUUAAGGAUGAAUGCAUCCAACAUUUUGCUUCACAAGAUUGUGAUUAACUGCCUUAGACCAAAAUCUAUUUCAAAGACCGACGUUUCAAACUCGGAGGCAAAGCUGAUUUAUGCCAUCAAUGCUGGGAAAAAGUUCUCUCUUCCACACACUAUUAUGUUCCACAUGUACAGAACAAUGGUGAAGGACAAGGGUCAACUUCCAUAUGCAGCUCUUGUGACCAAGUUAUUCAGACAUUUGAAUGUUCAGCCUCCCCGAAUUCUCUGUGUUCGAACAUGCGAUCAAAUGGUGGUGGGACUAAAAAUGAUCUCUAAAAUGCGUUUGAAGGAACUUAACAAAGAUUUGGAGCAGUUCAAAGUGAAAACCCCUGUCAAACUCAUUCAAUCUCUUCGACGGCAAAGUAAAAAGGGAAGGAGCCCAUGGUUGCUCCAUCCAAGAGAAGAAAAGCUCUCAUCACUGAGGAUGAAGAGGAUGAGGAUGAUAUCACCAUUUUUGCGAUGCCAUUGAAGAACUUGAGUCAUUCUGUUCCAGAAACAACGGAGAGACAGGAAAAAGACAAGGAUGAGACAGAACAGAGGACUGGAGAGAGAGAAGAUUUGGAAGCAGAGGAGAGAGAUGCAGAGGAGGAAAGAAUUGAGGAAGAAGAAGAAGAGGAGAGAGGAGAUCAAGCGGAAGCAGAGCAUGAGGAACAUUUUUCUCCACCUGAAGGCAUGGAAACAGGGGGAGAUCUUGAGAAAAGAGGAACGUCCUCAUUCCCUGCCACCAGUGAAGGAGUAAGUCGUUCUCCAGCAGAUCCAGAGGACAUCUAUGCCUCUCAAUUUCCUGAGGAGGGACAUGAUGUUUCAUCGCCCAAUUUGCGUGACCAUGCUGAUUUGCCAUCAUCUGCCUAUACACCGUCUGAUCGUGCAGAAGUCGGUACUCAGACUGAUAAUUCAGCAGACUUUCGCAGAAUACUUGAUGUUCUUUUGGAGAUGCGAGGUAAAAUAUAUGCUCUAGGAUGCGAAGUACAGAACUUGCAAAAUGCAGGUCAAACCUCUUCAGUUUCUUUGUAUGAUCAAAUCCAUGUCCUUGCUCUUCAAGUUCAAGCAAAUGCCAAGGGUGAAAAUGUGGCACAACUAAAGGAGGAUUUGAAAAAGCUGGAAGGGAUUGUCCAGUCAAUGGGAGAUUUCCAGCUUGUUCGUGUUCCCAAGCAGUCUUGAUUCCAUUCUAUUUUCAUCUCUACCUUUUUAUUGAUGACAAAAAUGGGGAGAGAUGUGGUGCAAAUUUGAUUUUGAACUUUGAACUUUGAACUCACUUUUUGAACUUUUGUAUUGAUUAUGUUUGAUUGACUUGACUUUUGUGUUUGGCUGUUUGGAUUUGGAUUUGACUGUUUGAACGUUUGUUUAUCUUAAGUACUACUGAUAUCUCAUGGCUUUGUUCAUUUACAGAACUAACCUACCUUCUGUGGAUGCAUAUUCUAGUGUUAUUUUUACUAAGCCAUUUAUCUUUGUGAGAUAUGCAUAUUUGCUUGAGUAAUGUUUUACAGGUCAAAAUUAUCCAAAUCUGCAGGAAAGUUUUGUCAUCAUAAAAAAUGGGGAGAUUGUUGGAGAAAACUUCCUUGAGUGUUUUGAAGUUGACAAAACGUUUCCAUCAGUCUAGUUUGAAGACUUGCGGACUCUUCCAUCAAAGUCUAAAGACCUCCGGACUGCUAGACCCAAGACUCAAAGUCUAUCCUCAUUGACAGUUUCUAAACCGUUGAAGAAAGCUUAUCCUAAACGAAGUAUUUUGUUAAGGAUUUGAUUCUGUCGUCUAAAGAAAAUCUCUUGGCUGGAUAUAGCAUGUCGGAAUCCAUUAUUCAAAUCAAGAUUGAUUCAGGGAUUUUGGAUUCGUUGAUUGACGAAGUAUACUUGGAAUGUGCUACUUAUGAAAACCUAGAUCCUGAUUGUAUGGGUGAGAAGGAUUGAUGGGCUAUCGUCAUGUUCCUUAAAUAGCUCGAAAAUCUUCCUAAUUGAUUCUGUCCAACGGGUAGAUUGGAAGAAUUCCUUUGGUAAGUGCCAACGGGUGUGAUGGCAUAAAGGAGUAUAUAAGGAAGACGUUCCAGUUGUUCGAGUGUGUGCGCGAUAGAAAAAUUCCAAAGUCUGAAGCUCCUUGUUCUUAGUCAAUUAAACUGUUGAAUGAAAUCUUGUACGCAAAAGAGAGUCUAUAUCUUUGAGAGACCUUGAGGAAGUGUAGUAGAGUUUCUACACUGUAGAAUCAAGGAAGAGCUUUACUGUAACAACUCUUUUGUUCAUAGUGAAAUCUAGCCGGUGGGCUGUUAGUGUGAAAGAGUGGACGUAGGCUUGGAUUAAGCCGAACCACUAUAAACUAUGUGUUCAUAUUCUCUUCCCUACGCUCUUUGAUUUUGAUCAUAACUCAAUUUAAGUUGCACACUUCACCUUUAGAAAUUUAUUUUUACACCUAUUCACCCAUCUCUAGGUGCUCAUACUAGCUUUCACAUCGACUUGUUAUAGUAAGGUACUUGUAUAAAAAUGAUAUGCUCUAAUAUUUUUGAACCCUUCGAAAAUUUUGUUGAAAUAUUUGAAAAUUCUUUCUUUAAAGAAUCAUUUUCUUUGACAAGUAAAUCUCAACUUUCUUUCGUUUGUAGAAAAUCUUUUUGCAAAAUUUCAAACAUUUCUUUUCGAGAAAGAUCAUGUUGCCUAAGCCAUGAAUUUUCCUUUUUAGUUUGGAGAUCUUUUUAAGAGAAGAUUUGAGAUUUAAACAAAACUCAUUUGUAUACUUAGAAACUUAAUAGGAAUGUCUAAAUGAUUUACCUCGAUUUCCUUGUCAAAUUCUCAAUUUUUUGAGGAAAGUGGAAUAAUUUUUUUUGAAUUUUGCUUACCUCGAUUUCCUCAUCGGAUUCUGAGUCUGUAUCCGAGUCAGACUUUGAUUCUAAGUCUGUGUCUGAGUCAGACUCUGAUUCUGAGUCUGUGUCUGAGUCAGACUCAGAUUCUGAAUGUGCCAUCAUGCAUAAAUUUCCUUGCUCAUCAUCUUCUUUCAUUGUUCUUUUCUGGCCAUUCUGCUUGUAUUGUCUUCUUUCACUAAACUUCAUUCCUUUUCUACUCAACCUUUUGAAUUUCUUGAUCAUAAAAGCAAGUUCUUGGUCGUCCAUGUCAUUUUCCGAGUUUGUAUCAUUAGAAUUAGCGUUAGAUUUAAGUGCAAUUGACUUCUUACCUUCGGGAUCUCCAUCAUUAAUUUGUUCCACUUCAUAGGAUUGAAGAGUUCCAAUGAGUUCAUCAACAGAAAGUGGUAUAAUCCUCUGAGUCUCCCGGAUUGAGGUCUUAACAUGGUUCCACUCUUUUGAGAGACCUCGCAAAAGUUUGUUGACCUUCAUUGGGGUAGAAAUUGGAUGACCUUGAGACGUCAAACCAUUUACAAAUUUCUGUAAAACGGCUGAACAUAUCUCCAAUUGACUCUUUUGACUUCAUCUUGCAGGAUCCAUAUUGGCUAAGCGGGAAGUUCACUUUUGUCUCUUUUACACGACCAAUCCCUUCAUAAGUAACAAGAAGUCUAUCCCAAACUUUUUUAGCUAUUUUAGAUGAAGAGAUUCUAUUAUACUCAGUAUGAGACAAGACACAAUAUAAAGAAUAAAUAGAUUUUACAUCAAGAGCUUCUCUUUUGGAUAUCUCCUUCUGAGGCAUAAGAGUAGGGGGUUUCGUUUCUUUGUCUUUGCCAUUCUUAUUUGAUGCAGACGUAGUUGUGGGAUUGAUUUCUUUUUCCACAACAUCCCAUUGCAAGAGAUCUCUAGAUCUUAGGAAUACCUUCAUUUUGUUUUUUCAAAUGUUGUAUUCCUUUCCAUCAAAAUUGGGUGGCCUGGUGUUGCUUUGCCCUUCAACCAGCCAUGGUGUCAAGAUACUAGCCAUAGAAGAUCUUUAGCUAAAAAGAAGAAAAACUUUAAUAAAACAAGUGUUAGGGAAAUCCCUUAUGAUGUUUUGAAGAUGACAAAAUAAAUCAAAGGCUACUAACAUGUUUAAUGGUUGAGUAAUAGACCAUGCAGAUAAUAGAACAUGUAAAGGAUAUUAUCAAAGUCAGAAGACGACCAGAAGACUGAACGUAACAUAUGUCUAGAGUAUAUUCUGAAGAUUUCCAGACUUCUGUGUCAAAGUCUGAAGACUGCCGUGUCAAAGUCUGAAGACUGCCAGACUUUAGUGUCAAAGUCUGUUCUACAUCAGAAGUCUGCUCACUCUGACAAAUUCCAGACUGAACGUGAAUGAUGAACCAGAAGACAGACUCUAUGCCGAAGCUGAACUGGGUACAUACCUUAAAGCUAAAUCUGUUCAGAAGCAGAUAUGUUCAGACCCAGAUUGUAAAGUCUACAAACUCAGAUUGUAAAGUCUAUUGCUCUCAGACUUUACAUCCAGAUUCGAUGAAUCGUAACUCAAGCCCAAUCAUAUAACGGCUAGUGAUCUGGUUUGGAUUCCACAUCAAGAUUGAUUUGAUUGAUUCAAUCUAUUUGAUUGACAAUUGGAUCUUGAAGACAAGAUCUUUCUAUACGAAGAAGCUUUACUUAUGGAAACCAAGAUUCCGUUUGUAUGGGCGAUCGGAAUCAAUUUGGGAUUUUACCUUUGUCACUCAACGGCUACCAAAUCUUCUAGAUACAGAGCUGUCCAAUGGGUAUAUUGGAAGACGAUUCUCCGGGAUACUGUCCAACGGGUAGUUUGGAAGUGGAGGAGUAUUUAAGGAGAUCAUGGACCGAUGAGCAAGUAAGAGACGGAGCGUAGAAUUUAUAAUUCCAAAGUCUGAGCGACUUUCGAUCAUAUACUUGUCUCUUGAGAGCUUAAACGUUUGUAAUCGUGAGAGAAAUACCAAAAGAGUGACUUAGUGAGAUAGUGUGAUCUACUACUAAGUGUUUGCACUCGAAGUUGUAAUCUCUUGUUGAUUGCAUAGUGGAAUCCAGCCAAGAAGGCUAUUAGCGUGGGAGAGUGGACGUAGGCUUGGAUUAAGCCGAACCACUAUAAAUCUUGUGUUCUUAUUCUCUUCCCUAACUCCUUUAUUUUGUUCAUACUAGCACUCACAAUUGGUAUCAGAGCCAAGUGCUCGGUUUAUAAAAGUGUUUUUACUUUUGAGUUAAAGAUUCUUUAUGGCUAGUAUGUUGGCACCAGGACUUAUGGAAGGGAAAAGCAACACAAGGCCACCAUAUUUUGAUGGAAAGGAAUACGAUGUAUGGAAGAAUAAAAUGAAAGCAUUCCUAAGAUCCAGAGAUCUCUUACAAUGGGAUGUUGUGGAAAGAGGAAUCAACCCCAUUGCUGCGUCUACAUCAAAUAAGAAUGGCAAAGACAAAGAAACCAAACCCCCCGCUCUUAUGUCUCCGACGGAGUUGUCCAAAAGAGAAGCGCUUGAUGCAAAAGCUAUUUAUUCUUUAUAUUGCACUUUGUCUCUUAUUGAAUAUAACAGAAUCUCUUCAUGUGAAACAGCAAAAGAAGUUUGGGAUAGACUUCAUGUUACAUAUGAAGGGACCGAUCGUGUAAAAUAGACAAAAGUAAACUUCUUGCUCGGCAAAUAUGAAUUCUUCAAGAUGAAGCAAGGAGAGUCGAUUGGAGAUAUGUUUAAUCGUUUUACAGAAAUUGUAAACGGUUUGGCAUAUCAAGGUCAUCCAAUUUCUUCCCCAAUGAAGGUCAACAAACUCUUGCGAGGUCUCUCAAAAGAUUGGAACCAUGUCAAGACCUCAAUCCGGGAGACUCAAAGGAUUAUGCCACUCACUGUUGAUGAAUUGAUCGGCACUCUUCAAUCCUAUGAAGUGGAGCAACUUAACGAUGAAGAUCCCGAAGGUAAGAAGUCCAUUGCUUUAAUAUCUAAUGCUGUUUUUGAUGAAACAGACUCAAAAAAUGACAUGGACGAUGAAGAACUUGCCUUUAUGGUCAAGAAAUUCAAAAAGUUGAGUAGAAAAGGAAGGAAAUUCGAUGGAAGAAAAUACAAGCAGAAUGGCCAGAAAAGAACAAAAAAAGAAGAUGAUGAGCAAGAAAAUUUAUGCUUGAUGGCACAUUCAGAAUCUGAGUCUGACUCAGACACAGACUCAGAAUCAGAGUCUGACUUAGACACAGACUCAGAAUCCGAUGAGGAAAUCGAGGAAAUAAAAGAAAAGAAGAAGUUGGUAAGGAAUGUUUUUGGGCACAUAAUUCUCAUUAUGCUUGAAAUUCGAUAUAUCAUUGAUUGAUUCAGAUUUUAUAAUGAUCAUAUUUUGUUUUAUUGAAGAAAGAAUCGCAUGAUUUGUUUUUGUGAUUCGAAAUUUAAUUUGAUACGUGUGAUCAUUUUUGAUAUCAUGCUUAAAGACAAAAUGAACUUAUUUUGGUUUGAUUUUAUACUCUCAGAUUUUAUCAUAUUUUGCCAAAUAAAAAUCUGUUUUACGUGAUAUUAAUUUAUGAUGCAAGAUAUUAUUGUGCAUAAUAUUCUUUCUUUGAAUACUUUGUUAUGAUGAAUUAAGAAAGAAUAUUUGGAGAUUAUAUAUUUUGCUCUAACGUCAUGGAAGGAUCCAAAUUGAUGGAUACCAAAAAGGGAAAUGAGUUGAUUGCAGGAAAUUCUUUAAGGGAAGGAUGAUUGCGAUUCUACGCAAAUUUUGGUGCAAUCAGAAAAUAUCUCCUGCAACAAUUGGUAAUGAUUUUUUUUAAUCAAUGGUAUAUUUGAAACAUAUACCCGGGUAAGAGAAAUUUUUUCAUCCCGCCUUACAAAUUUCUACGUGCAUUUAUCAUGAUUUUGGAUGAUUGUUUAUUAUAUUGCAAAUAUCUUCUGUCAUAAAUAUAAUGUAUUGCAAUUUUGGCACGUGACAGAAAUAUCUAUUUUCCUUUUGCAAAAUGCAUAUCUGAAAUUUAUGCUCAAGGAAAUAUCUUUGAUCUUGAAAGAUAUGAUUGCAUAUUUAUGGAUAUUCGUGCUAUAUUCUUAGAAUAUAUAUUCUAUCUAGCAAGUUUGAUCCGCAAAUCGAAGGAAAAUAUUACGUGACAUUUUUGCAAAGAUGAUUAUCUAUUAUACAAGAAUUUGCAGGUAUCAAUAAAAUCUUCCAUAUGGAUUUUGGAAAACUCGAUCAGAAAACAAUGAAGAUUCUAUUCUAUCUUCUGGAGGUUCAAAGAUUCCAUUCCUUAUGCAAAAUUUUUGCAAAUUGUUGAGGAAAUCCCUUAUGUGUCGUACGGAAGGUUGAAUAGUUCUGAAUUUUAAUAUCUGAUAAUUUUAUAUAUGCUAUUCAAUUUAUCUAUUUGAAGAAAAGGGUAUUAUAUUUCACGUGGAUAUUAUUACAGCUUAUUUGUGCAAAAAGUUUGUUAAGUUGAUGCAGGUUGAAUUCGAGAUGAGCUUGAUUGAAGAAAAUAAUUUUUUGCCUCAAAUUUCAAAAUGCAAGUGAUCGUUGCAGAUGUUGUUGCUACAAAGGAAAUACUGGAAAAAUAUUCCGUUCAACGUGCACAAGCAACAAUUAUUUCUAUUCGCAAAUAUUGUCAUGAUCACAGGGGGAGAAAACAAAUCCAAGAAAAAGGAAAUAAUCGUGAUCAUCUCAAAUUGAGGGGGAGCCUUGAUCAAUUAUGGAAAAAUCUUUUUGGAUUGAUCGUGAUCUUAUUAUGGAUGGAAGGAAAGGUAAAUGUGUCAGAAUUUAUUCUAAAAAAUCCUGUUAGUGUAUCUUUUAUUACCUUUUGUCAUUAACAAAUCUCUUAUUGAUAUUAUCAUUUUAUUAUGACAAAAAGGGCACGUGAGUUUCAUGAUGCAUCCGUGAUUUUUAUUGAAUAUUUGCUGAUAUAUAUGAUCGAAGUGAGCUAUAUUGCAUAUCUUCAAUAUUCGAUUUACUUUAUAAAAGCUGAUUUUUAGAAAUUAUGCAAGACAUAUUUAUUAUCAUUCUCUACGUGACUCCAUUAUUAUCGCUUUUUGAUUAUGACAAAAAGGGGAGAGAUAUGAAUAUGUAUAUGUGCUGAUUGGNNNNNNNNNNNNNNNNNNNNNNNNNNNNNNNNNNNNNNNNNNNNNNNNNNNNNNNNNNNNNNNNNNNNNNNNNNNNNNNNNNNNNNNNNNNNNNNNNNNNNNNNNNNNNNNNNNNNNNNNNNNNNNNNNNNNNNNNNNNNNNNNNNNNNNNNNNNNNNNNNNNNNNNNNNNNNNNNNNNNNNNNNNNNNNNNNNNNNNNNNNNNNNNNNNNNNNNNNNNNNNNNNNNNNNNNNNNNNNNNNNNNNNNNNNNNNNNNNNNNNNNNNNNNNNNNNNNNNNNNNNNNNNNNNNNNNNNNNNNNNNNNNNNNNNNNNNNNNNNNNNNNNNNNNNNNNNNNNNNNNNNNNNNNNNNNNNNNNNNNNNNNNNNNNNNNNNNNNNNNNNNNNNNNNNNNNNNNNNNNNNNNNNNNNNNNNNNNNNNNNNNNNNNNNNNCAUCAGAAGUCUGCUCACUCUGACAAAUCCAGACUGACGUGAAUGAUGCCAGAAGACAGACUCUAUGCCGAAGCUGAACUGGGUACAUACCUUAAAGCUAAAUCUGUUCAGAAGCAGAUAUGUUCAGACCCAGAUUGUAAAGUCUACAAACUCAGAUUGUAAAGUCUAUUGCUCUCAGACUUUACAUCCAGAUUCGAUGAAUCGUAACUCAAGCCCAAUCAUAUAACGGCUAGUGAUCUGGUUUGGAUUCCACAUCAAGAUUGAUUUGAUUGAUUCAAUCUAUUUGAUUGACAAUUGGAUCUUGAAGACAAGAUCUUUCUAUACGAAGAAGCUUUACUUAUGGAAACCAAGAUUCCGUUUGUAUGGGCGAUCGGAAUCAAUUUGGGAUUUUACCUUUGUCACUCAACGGCUACCAAAUCUUCUAGAUACAGAGCUGUCCAAUGGGUAUAUUGGAAGACGAUUCUCCGGGAUACUGUCCAACGGGUAGUUUGGAAGUGGAGGAGUAUUUAAGGAGAUCAUGGACCGAUGAGCAAGUAAGAGACGGAGCGUAGAAUUUAUAAUUCCAAAGUCUGAGCGACUUUCGAUCAUAUACUUGUCUCUUGAGAGCUUAAACGUUUGUAAUCGUGAGAGAAAUACCAAAAGAGUGACUUAGUGAGAUAGUGUGAUCUACUACUAAGUGUUUGCACUCGAAGUUGUAAUCUCUUGUUGAUUGCAUAGUGGAAUCCAGCCAAGAAGGCUGUUAGCGUGGGAGAGUGGACGUAGGCUUGGAUUAAGCCGAACCACUAUAAAUCUUGUGUUCUUAUUCUCUUCCCUAACUCCUUUAUUUUGUUCAUACUAGCACUCACAACAAGCACUUGGCUUUGAUAUCAAUUGAAAAUGCUACUACUAUCACCUAGAGGGGGUGAAUAGGUGUUUAAAAUAAACCUUGACAAAUAAAUGCAGAAUAAAAUAAGUUGCGAGCAGAGUUUGAAAAAGGAUUAGAGUAUGAUUAAACGAGCUACCAGACUUUUAGUAGAUGUUAAAAAUCUGUUAUGCGAUGGAACAACAAUCUGAAAUAACCUAUAAGUAUACAACAUACUUAAAUAAGAAGAGUUAAGAGAAGAUAAUGUUGCAGACGAAAUUUAUAGUGGUUCGGCUUAGAUCUAGUCUACAUCCACUCUUUUAUACUAACAGCCUUCUGGCUGGAUUCCAUUAUAUGAUUAAUAAGAUAUUACAACUUUGAGUGCAAACACUUAGUGAUAUAUUACACGAUCUCACUAAGUCACUCUUUUGGUAUUUCUCUCACGAUCACAAACAUUUAAGCUCACAAAAGUGUAUGAUCGAAAUUCGCUCAAACUUUGGAAUUAUAGAUUUUACGCUCCGUCUCUUACUUGCUCUUCGGUCCUUGGUCUCCUUAAAUACUCCUCCACUUCUAAACUAACUGUUGGAUAUUAUCUAGAAGAUUGUCUUUCAAUCUACCUAUUGGAGAGAUAUGUAUCAAUAAGAUUUACUGGCUAUUGAGUGACAAAAGCAUAAUCCCAAGUUGAUUAUGAUCGCCCAUACGAACAGAAUCUUGAUUUCGAUAAGUAGAGUUUCUUCGUUUAGAAAGUUCUUGUUUUCAAUAUCCAAUUGUUAAUCAAUUAGAUUGAGUCAAUCAAUUCUAUCUUGAUGUAGAAUCCAAACCAGAUCACUAGCCGUUAUAUGCUUGGGCCUGUGUUAUGUUCUGUCAAGUUGUCUCGUUCUAAACAUGUUUCGUUCUGAAUCUGCUACGUUCUGAACUUGUGUCUCAUUCUGGACCUUGUCACGUUCUGGACAUAUGUCUCAUUCUUGAUGGAAAGUCUAAGAAUGUUUUGUCUAAAGUAAAGUUUGAGUGUCUUCUGUCUGAAGUAGAGUCUGAGUGUUUUCUAUCUGAAAUAUACUUUACAAUCUGCAUGUAAGUCUGAAGAUAUUCUGCUUCUGAAUAUAUUUAGCCUUAAGGUCUAGACAUAAUCUGAAUAAGUUCAAUUUCAACAUAGAGUCUAUCUUCUAGUUCUUUCAAGUAUAGACUUUAAUAAUAUCCUUUACAUAUUCUAUCAUCUACAUAGUCUAUUCUCAACCAUUAAACCCAUUAGUAGCCUUUGAUUUAUUUUAUCAUCUUCAAAACAUCAUAAGGGAUUUCCCUAACAAUAGCAAGGAGUUCAAGCAAUUUGUGCAGAUAAUGGAAUCAUAAUGACAAGAACUGUUCCCAAUAAACCGCAGCAAAAUGGAGUUGCUGAAAGGAUGAAUAGAAUUCUGAAUGAGUGCGCAUGUAGGAUUACCCAAGAUGUUUUGGGCGGAUACAAUUAACAAAGCAACAUAUUUGAUUAAUAGAGAACCUUCAGUUUCACUUGAUUUUAAGCUACUAGAAGAAGAACGGAGUGGAAAGAAGGUAAAUCUCUAGCAUCUAAAAGUUUUUGGUUGUGUUUCGUAUGUUCACAUAGAUUCUAAAAAUAAAGAUAAGUUUGAUGCAACAGCUAAAAAAUGUUUUUUCAUUGGAUAUGGUUCUGAUUAUUUUGGUUAUCAAUUUUGAGAUGAACAAAAUAGAAAAAUAAUAAGAACUGAUGAUUUUACAUUCAAUGAAAACAUAUUGUAUAACAAUCAAUGAAUAGCAGAAUCUAGUGUGAAGAAACAAACGGUGGAGAAUACAAAGAUUGGAUUAGAAGAGGUUUCUAAGAGCUUUUUUAGUUGAGAUUCCUAAAAUUGUUACUAUCAACUUUGGUAAAAUACCAGAACAUGAAUUACAUACGCUUGAACCCACUUUGAGAAAAUUUAGUAAAACACUUAAACCUGUACAAAGAUGUUCUCCGUCAUUGCAUUAUUUGCUUUUGAUUGACGCUAGAGAACCAGAAUUUUUUUGGAAGCAGUGUAGGUUAAAGAUUUAGCUAAGUGGGAGUUAGCAAUGCAUGAUAAGUUAGAUUCACUCGAGAAAAACAUAACUUAGGUGUUCACACAAUUACCAAAUGGGAAGAAAGUAUUGCAAAACAAGUGGGUGUAUCGGUUCAAAAAAGAACCCGAUGGCAACAAUAGGUACAAAACAAGGCUAAUAGUAAAAGGUUUUCAACAAAAUGAAGAAAUUGAUUGCACAAAGAUCUUUUUUCCAGUUGUGAAAUUGACUAUUACCAGGUUAAUAUUGAGUAUUGUUGCAGCUAAGAAUUUAUAUCUGAAGCAGUUAGAUGUUAAGACUGCAUUCCUCUAUGGUUAUUUGGAGGAGGAUAUUUACAUGAUACAACCAUAAGGUUUUCAAGUUCUUGGAAAAGAAAAUUAUGUCUACAAAUUGAAGAAAAAUCUACAUGACUUGAAAUAGGCUCCUAGAUAGUGGUAUAAGAAAUUUGACACUUUUAUGUGGGGUAACGGGUUCACUAGACGUGAAAUGGAUCAUUGCUGUUACUUCAAGAAAUUUGGUGACUGCUAUAUUAUUUUGCUAUUGUAUAUGGAAGAUAUGCUCAUCUCAGAAUCUAUCAUGAGAGAGGUCAACAUAUUGAAGUAGCAAUUAUCAAAAGAGUUUGAGAUGAAGGACUUGGGCAUAGUGAAUCAGAUUCUUAGGAUGAGGAUCACGCGGAAUAGAUCGUAGAAUAGAUCCAAAGGAAUUCUAAAAUUAUCUCAAGAUAAGUACAUUUAAAAAAUGUUAGACAAAUUUAGUACUCCUUUAGAAAGUCACUUCAACCUCUCAAAGAAACAGUUACCGCAAACAGAUGAAGAGUAGGAGUAUAUGUCUAAGGUGCCUUAUAUAUCAGCUAUUGGCAGUUUAAUGUAUCUUAUGGUAUGUACUUCACUAGACAUAGCUCAUGUAGCGGAAGUUGUGAGCAAAUAUAUCGCAAAUUUAUGAAUAAAGUAUUGGGAAGCUGUAAAGUGAUUAUUAAGAUACCUAAAAGACACUUCAUAUAUUAAGUUUUAUGAAAAACAAUGUAACUUUACAAGUCUUUGUUGAUACAGAUUUUGGUGGUGACUUGGAUAAUAGGAAGAGCACCUCGAGUUAUGUUUUUACCUUAAGUGGCACUACAAUCAAUUGGAUGUCUAAACUUCAGACCUGUGUGUCUCUCUCAACUAUUGAGGUAGAGUAGGUUGCUAUAUCUGAAGCUAGUAAGGAGAUGAUUUGGUUGAAAUUUUUUUUUGAAGGAGAUAGACAAUGAGUGGGAUGAUAGUGUUAUUUUCAGUGACAGUCAAAGUGCUAUUUGUCUUGCAAAAAUUCCAUUAUUUCAUUCAAAGACAAAACACAUAGAGUUAAAAUAUCAUCAAAUUUGUCAGUUGAUAGCUAAUGGGACUUUGUCAUUGAAGAAGAUUCUUGAUGCAAAAGAUCCAGUAGAUAUGUUAAUAAAGGUUGUCACCAUUGAAAAAUUAAGACCGUGCAUUACUUCAAUUGGCCUCUAUGGUAAGUGAUGAAGGCGGUCGCCGCACUAGAAUAAUUUGGGCUACAAAGAUAAAGACUAUGAAAGGUUAUUGCUUUUUUUUUUUUUUCUUUUUAAGAUCAGCCUCCAAGUGGGAGAUUGAUGGAGUUGGGGGAGUCUGAUAAAGGAAAAUAAUAUUCAAGUACAAAGCAGUUUAUUUUAGGCAAUUACCAAUCAUGUAAUGUUAAAGCAAUCAAUAGGGCUUUUAUUGCUGCUAAUGGCAUAUAUGUAAUUUCCAUAUUAAUUAUGUAUGCCCUAGACUCCUAUUAUAUAUAUAGGGGUAAUAUCUUUUUUAGUUGUAACACUGAAGCUUGUAAAAUUAUCACUUGUUUUCUUCUCUAUUUUUUCUCUUCAUAUAUUCGCAUUCCCAACAAUUAAGUCCCUCAACUUUUGUAUGUGUGCAAUAUAAGUCCCAAACUUUCAAUUGGUAAUAUCAAAUCCCUCUACAAUUUUAGUAAAAUGACAUGGGAAGGUGCGAAGCCUGAUUGACCUAAUGAAUAUUGCCAUAUUACCCAUUCAAGAGAUUCAACAGUUGGGCUGGAGCUUGGAAUGGGGUUCCGCAAGAAAUUAGGCUAAGAUCCAAAGAUUUCCAAUUUGUUAACAAUAAUGUGGUGUCUUAAGAACUCAAGGGCAAACCUAGCAAACCUAGCUUACUUAAACAUCUUAGUAGCUAGGCAGUCGUUGUUUGAUGCUAUCUAGUUCUGCCUAUCCGAAAAUACAUCUAUAGGCGCUUGCUAGCCCCCUACCAGUUAUUGUAUGAGAUCUACUCAAUGCUAGAUGCAGAGGCGCAUAAUAGAUCGAUAUGAACAUCAUGAGCUGUCCCGCACUAAAACGCGUUGGAAAUCACCUAUCCAAUCUCUUUUUCUUUUUUGAUCCAGUGGGCCUUCUUGCAUGGACUUGGGCAUGCUAUGAUGAUGGGUAGUCUUGUUGUGCUUUGGCCCUUCUGUGGGCUUUCACUUAAGAAAGCGGGCUUGACAAGCCUAGAGGGAAAUAGUAAUCAUGGCUACUAAUAAAAUAAGACUCAAAACCAAAAACUAGACAAAGUAGUAGGUAUAAAGUAAAUUGCUCAAUAUUUCCAAAUUAGUUAAACUUCGUCGGAGAUAUGACAACUCUUCUUUUUUAUAGUAAAAUAGAGUAUAGAAAUAGUAAAUUCAUCCCUCCUUUUCAUCUACUGUGAAUGCUACCACUGCUUGAGUACUCUCGCUCUUGCUUAUCUUGCUGCAACAAAGCAAGCUUAGGAAUGAAUUGAAUGGAAAGUCUUUGUCCCCACCUACCAAUUGUAGAAGUAGGAUCUUUGGCAAGCAAUAAGCACUUAAAUAAUACAAUGCUGGCUCAUCUCCUUUUUGUGAAACUAUUCCUCAAGCAAGACAGCCGAUAAGUCAUCGAAGGGUUUGUGUGAAUAAUAGAAUGGUAAGCAUUGCUCAUUUGAAAGUGUCCACGGUGAUCUAAUAUCUUUAUAAGAAAAUGACGCAAGAAUCCGCGGUGAAGAAAUAAGGAGAUCUUUCUAUAUUGAAAUAGCAGUUGAUAAAAUCAUAGGCAAAAUCCUACCGGUAAGAAUGUAGAGAAGAACGAAAAUAGAAUGGUUCUACCUACUCAAAACUAAGAGGAGAUGCAACUGCAGUCUAGACUCUUGUAGGCCAUGUCGUUGCGGAUGGCUUCCAUUUUUAAAAGAAAACCAACAAGCUUCCAAGGUUGGGGCCAUGAGUUGGCUUUCUUGAACUCCUAGUAAAGGCGAACAGCUAUUUCAAGAUUAUAUAAGCUAUAAGCAUUGAAGGCGAAGCUAACUUAAAGACAUGGGACAUCGAUUCAAUAAAACUUAAUGGAGAAAGGCAAGGAUGACGGUGACUCUGAAACUAAUCAAACCAUUUAAGGAAUUGUGAAUAUGGAGAGUAAGAAACCUUAUGAAAAGGUCUAAAUAAAUUGAAAUCAAGAUGAUGCAAUAGUUUUAAUGUUGGAAGUUUAUGAAAAUUUCGAGUAUGUAUACUUGAUGGGAGAAUUACCAAAAAAGUUCUAAACCUAUUGCAAUUGUGCUAAUUCAGUCUUAAACUUUUUUUUUAGCCAAUUUAGUCUUAAACCUUUUACAAUUGUGCCAGUUUAGUCCAUCCGGCCAAAAUUGACCGGUCAACGCUAAUGUGGAUACCGGUCAUCCGGUGAAAGUUGACAUGGCAAUUUUUUUAUUUAUUUUUUUCCAAUUUUUAAAUAUUUUUUGAAUUUUUGAAUUCUUUUUCUUUUUUUCACCUUCUCCUUCCUCUGGCCGGCCAACACUGGCCAAAGGUGAGGGCUGGCGAGGCCCCACAAGAAUUGUCAAGGCCGGCCUCGCCGUCGCUAGGCGAAGCCCCGCCAAAUCUAGCUAGGGCCGACCUUGCCGGCACUGGUGAGAUCGACCCUCGCCAGAUUUGGCGACGGUGGCCUUGCCGUCGCCUCGCCGUCGCCUCGCCGUCGCUGGGCGAGGCUUGAAGAGCCGGCCAGAGGAAGGAGAAGGUGAAAAAAAAAUGAAUUCAAAAAUUCCAAAAAUAAUUAAAAAUUCCAAAAAAAAAUAUUAAAAAAUUGCCAUGUUAGCUUUCGUUGGACGGCCAUAAUCCACGUCAACGCUGACCGGCCAAUUUUAGUCGGAUGGACUAAACUGACACAAUUGUAAAAUGUUUAGAACUGAAUUGACAAAAAAAAAAGUUUAUGACUAAAUUGACACAAUUGCAAUAAGUUUAAGCUUCUCCCUAUACUUGAUAGAACCCUCAAAAUCUUAUUAAACCAACUUAUGGGCUGGACCGCUUAUGAUCUGAAAGGCUAAUCUCACAUUAUGUUGAAACUAGGGGCUUGCCUCGAGCUAAAAUUCACGGCGACUUUACUUGAAUAGCUCAACAUGACCAAAACGCAAGUCGAUGACAUGACAGCUUAAUUUGAGCACUAACAUCAUAAACGCCCUUGCGGUGUUAUAUCUUACUCAAUUAUUCAGUUCCAGUGGAUGAAAUCGAGACCAUAAUGACUACUAUAAUGAGACCCAUCAUUUACCGAGAUUAAGUGGCAUAAAUCAAGACACGGUGACAUUUCCAUCGUGGUCGAGCUCAAGUUAACUGGAUUUAUGCUAAACUCAGUAUCCAGUUCGACCUUGAUUUAGUUGUUCAAUAAAUUGAAGCCCGACUAUUCGAUUCUGCAAUUAGCAAGUAAGUCUGCUUUGAGCUGGAGUCUAGCUCGAGUCUAACUCAAGUAAGAAUUGAGAGAUACUGCAAAAAGGAGUAUAAAAAAAUAAUGCUGUUUUUCUAUAUAUUGUAUUUAUAGUCUGAUCAUUUGUAUGCACUCAAACAUAAUUCAACAGCUCGAUUAGCUUGGCUCCAAAGCAAGAUACUCAAGUUAGGCCGGCCCAGUUAAGAACUUACUUGGACUUAGCAAAAUUCAAAGAAUCCAUCUCGUAUCUCACGAGUAGCAUGAUUAGUUUCCAUUUCUACGUGCAACUUUUUCGUUACGCAUACCUCCGAACGAUUAUGACUUGAUUAUUACCAUCUAAAAUUAGGCAUUUCGCAUGAACAAGAUGCGUACAUUGAGUUUGAUAGGGAAUGGGUGACCACUGGCUUCCCUUUUUAUUCACCGUGAAUAAUACGAGAAGAAAGCUAUACACACUCCAAUUGGAUUGGCGUCUUCCAAAGGUUACUAAAAAAUAAAAAUGGCACGCGCGCUGCCGGGAAAAUAUGAAAAUUUUUGUAAAAUACUUUUUUUUAGUGAAAUGAUUAUAAUCAAUGGUGAAAAAUAAAAAAUAAAAACAUAACUCAUGUGGCCUCACAUCGGGCGAUCUUCUUAUCAUGUAAGCCAAUACCCCACACUAAAAUUUCAAUUCUAUAUAGUACAAACUAAAAAUUUGACUUUUCCAGAAGCUUUGUGUCCUUUCAUGUUACAAGCAAUCAGGAAUUUUGUUGAAGCCGAAAUAUCGAGCUAAACUUCACCAAAGCAUGACAACAAUGAUGAGACUCAGAAAUAAAAACGCCAAUUCCAAAUCAAACGAAUUCUCACAAAUAUCAUCUGUCAAAAGCAGCAACUGAAUGUAAAUAAUCUGCACGCUGUGACUUAUUUCAGAAAGGGUUCGAGUCUAUUUCCUUGCUUUUUAUUACUGUCAAUUGGAAGAGUUCUUUAGAAAGCCCGCAGAAAAAGUGAAGCCAAAGAUUGUUUUUGCCCCAUCACUGUCAGGAAUUCAUAGUUUGAACAAGCCAAUGGGUCGAUGAUAAAUGUUGAGAAUUCUUCUAAAAAUCAGAAUUUUUAUAUCACACAAAUUAUUGAAAGAGAAUCCCAUUCCACGAAUCAAAUCACUCGAAAUGAAAAUCCGGACAGGAAUCAAUAUCAAUGGACUUGUGGCAACUCACAGACCAAAGAAAGAUGAUAAGUCUCACGAAUUGAUGUGAAUAACUAGUGAUUCAAGAAUACGGAUCCUCAAAUCCACCAUUUUUCACAAAUUUGCUUGACAUGUCAAUUUCAAUGAAGACUUGGAAAAGUAAGUCAAGCAUUCUUGUCCUAAGAGCAAAGUACUCUCCAAACUGAUUGGAAAGGGGAAGGGAAAAAGAUACCAAAAACCUUAAACUUUGCCCAGUGUGACGAAAUUACCCUAAACCUUUUUAUUUUUUGUAACACAAAAAUCCUAAACUUUGCCAAUUAUGAUACAUUUAUCCCAAAUUAUAGAACAUUUUCGUCUUUUACUUUUAAUUUUUUUCUUGUUUUUUUUUCUUUUUCUUCUUCUCUCUUACCCUCAGCUGGCCAUGACGGAGGGAAGCCAAACCCAAGCGAAUUCUCAUGAAUAUCAUCUGUCAAAAGCAACAACUGAAUGGAAAUAAUCUGCACGUUGUGACUUAUUUCAGAAAGGGUUCGAGUCUAUUUCCUUGCUUUUUAUUACUGUCAAUUGGAAGAGUUCUUUAGAAAGCCCGCAGAACAAGUGAAGCCAAAGAUUGUUUUUGCCCCAUCACCAUAAGGAAUUCAUAGUUUGAACAAGCCAAUGGGUCGAUGAGAAAUUUUGAGAAUUCUUCUAAAAAUCAGAAUUUUUAUAUCACACAAAUAAUUGAAAGAGAAUCCCAUUCCACGAAUCAAAUCACUCGAAACAAAAAUCCGGAUAGGAAUCAAUAUCAAUGGACUUGUGGCAACUCACAGACUAGAGAAAGAUGAUAAGUUUCACGAAUUGAUGUGAAUAACUAGUGAUUCAAGAAUACGGAUCCUCAAAUCCACCAUUUUCCACAAAUUUGCUUGACAUGUCAAUUUCAAUGAAGAUUUGGAAAAGUAAGUCAAGCAUGCUUGUCCUAAGAGCAAAGUAUACUCCAAACUGAUGGAAAAGGAGAAGGGAAAAAGAUUAUAGGACAUUUUCAUUUUUUACUUUUAAUUUUUUUUCUUGUUGUUUUUUUUCUUUUUCUUUUUCUUCUUCUCUCUUCCCUCAGCUGGCCAUGACGGAGGGAAGACAAACUCAAAUGUAAUUCAACAGCUCGAUUAGCUUGGCUCCAAAGCAAGAUACUCAAGCUAGGCAUUUUCAAGCAUGAACUCAGCCCAGUUAAGAACUUCUUAAUUGCACUCGGCAAAAUUCAAAGUAUCCGUCUCGUAUCUCACGAGUAGAUUGAUUAGUUUCCAUUUCUACGUGCGACUUUUUCGUUACGUAUACCUCGAAACAAUUAUGACUUGAUCAUUACUAUCUAAAAGUGGGCAUUUCGCAUGAACAAGAUGCGUACAUUGAGUUUGAUAGUGAAUGGGUGACCACUGGCUUCCCUUUUUAUCCACCGCGAAUAAUACAAGAAGAAAUUUAUACACACUCCAAUAGGAUUGGUGUCUUUCUAAGGUUACUAGAAAUGGCACACGCAUUGUCGGGAAAAAAUUAAAAUUUUUGUGAAAUACUUUUUUUUAGUGAAAAGAUUAUAAUCAGUGGUUUUAAAAUAAUAAAAAAAAACUAGUGUGGUCACAUAUCGUGCAAUUUUCUUAUAUUGUAAGUCAAUACCCCACACUAAACCUUUUUUUUUUUUUUUUAUGAUUGAGGAAUCCACCAUUGCCCGCUGGUGCCUGAUAGGCACACAAUGGACGGGCGCCUAUAACUCAGGGGAGACUAGCACAUGAUUCCAACAUCAUAGCCCCCCACUUACAAUGCGUUUAGCAAUGCAUGAAUUCGAACUUUCGACCUUGACGAUGAGGGAAGGACUCUAGUACCAAUGCAGCUGCCCACGGUUGGGUAGCAACGCAUUUAUUUCUAAACUUUUAAAUGUAUAUAGUACAAAAUAAGAAUUUAACUUCUCGAGAGGCUUGACAACAAUCACGAGACUUCAGAAAUAAAAAUGCCAAUUCCAAAUCAAACGAACUCUCAUAAUUAUCAUCUAUUAAAAGCAGCAACUGAAUAGAAAUAAUCUGCACGCUGUGACUUAUCUUGGAAAGGGUUCGAGUCUACUUCCUUGCUUUUUAUUACUAUCAAUUGGAAGAGUUCUUAAGAAAGCCCGCAGAAAAAGUGAAGCCAAAGAUUUUUUUGCCCAUCACCAUUAGGAAGUCAUAGUUUGAACAAGCCAAUGGGUCAAGAAAUUUUGAGAAUUCUUCUAAAAAUCUGAAUUUUUAUAUCACUCAAAUAAUUAAAAGAGAAUCCGAUUCCACAAAUCAAAUUAUUUGAAACGGAAAUCUGGAUAGGAAUCAUUAUCAAUGGACUUGUGGAAACUCAAAGACCAGAGCCAGAUUAUAAGACUCACGAAUUGACGUGAAAGACUAGUGGCAACUCAAGGAGACAGAUCCUCAAAUCGGCCAUUUUCCACAAAUUUGCUUUACAUGUCAAUUUCAAUGAAGACUUAGAAAAGUAAGUCAAGCAUGCCUCUCCUAAGAGCAAAGUACCCACAAAACUGAUUGAAAAAGGAAAAGAUAUAAUGUUUUAAUGAAAAACUGCUUCAAGUAUUUAUUUUGAAAUCUACCGUUGAUUUUGGUCCUCUCUCUUAGAACUAAUAUUUAUGGAAUUAUCGUUUUCAUCUCACUCUUUUUCAUAUUUUACUGUCUUGAUUUUUCCGUGAAUUAAUUUUCGAAGAACUUGUCUUAAUAGUAUGAUACAAUAACGUCUAGUCUGACAUGGAAUUAUAUAUCUUUGUCAGAUAUCAAUAGGAUAUCAGCAAAUCGAUAAACUGAUUAGGCACAAACAAACAUAAGGGGGUGAGUUUGUGAUCUAAGGAAACUUAAAAAAAUUUCAGGUGAAGAGCAUGCACUAGUGCUGUAGAGAGAAACGUGCAUAUACAAAAUAGUUAUCUUCCAUCGGUCAAAGGCGUUUAAGAUAUAGAAGAAUUGUAAACCAUAUUUAUAGUACUUUGGCCUAUCCAUUUGGAUUACUCUACUCUGCCAGCUCUAACAGUCCAAACAAAUACUGGAACCCACUAUAUAAUCCUCGAGAUGUUACUACAUCUGAAGAUACUUCCUUCUACUUGUAACUUUGCUUUUACAUUUAAUUUGUAAAACUUAUUGACAAAGUAUCUCUACAUAUCUUGUCACCAAUUCAUGUGCCUACUAGUACUCUCGGAUAUUCAAAGGUUAUAAUGUGUUAUGUUCAGGAUUCUAACACGAGGAUGAUGUUUCUGGUAGUGUGGCAUAGGAGCUCAACAACAAUGAAUUUGCGUGAUGGUUAUUGAUUGAUGACUGGGUGUGGUUCUUGUCUUUUGAGCGACCAAAAGCAAGUUGGAAGUUUGGAAACGCGGGUCGAGAGCACCUAAUAUUUAGGAAUGUAAUCUCUUCCAUCCCUUGGAUGGUUAUAACUGAUCAUACCAGGAUUUACUCGUAUUGAUCCAUCAAUCGCGCAUGGCCAUGACCAUCCAACACGUACAUCGACCAUAUGGGGAUAGAUCCAAACAUAUAAUAUCAGGUAAUAAUCAAAGUGUGCUCCUUGACGAGAAAUUACUUGAUGCAUGAACAAAUGUGAUCUUCUCUAUGUUAUGACAUUCACCAUGGUGAUUUAAUCCGGAAAUCACUAGAUGAACUACUAUAUAAGAAAGAUUAUGUUAAGUAACUGGUUAGUGCAUAUAAAUAACCUACAUGGGACCCAAUUGAAUUUCAUAAUUUUUUAAGGGAAAAGGGCCAAAAAAGUCCUAAACCUUUUGCCUUUGUACCGAUUUAGUUAUAAACCUUUUUUUGGUGCCGAUUCAGUCCUAAACAUUUUUAUGUUGUGCCAAUUCAUUCAUUUCCUGCCAAUUUUGGCCGGAUUUUGCUGACUGGACGCCGGCCGGCUGACAUGGCUUGAUCGGCGCUGACGUGGACAACUUUUAAUAAUAUUUUAAUAAUAUAUAUUUUUUAUUUACCUUUUUCCUCCAGUUGGCAAGGGUGAGGCCGACCUCGCCAGCCCUCGCCAGCCAUGGGCGAGGCUCACCCUCGUUGGAUUUUCACGAUAUCAUACACUAUCAGUGCUAUCUAUGUAUAUAGCUCGCCCUCGCCGGAUCUGGUGAGGCGAGCCUCACCCAUGGCCAACGAGGCUCGACCUCACCAGAUCCAGCCAUGGUGGAGGCUCGCCCUCGCCGGAUCUAGCGAGGUCGUGCCUCGCCGGAUCUCGCCAGUCAUGGGCGGGCUCGCCCUCGUCGGAUCGGGCGAGGCUCCUCCAUGGCCGGAUCUAGAGAGGCGAGCCUCGCCCAUGGCUGGCGAGGGCUGGAGAGGUGGCCGACGAGGUCGCCCUCGCCCUCGCCGGCCGUCGCCUCUGGCCGGUCGCCAGACCUUGGCGACCAACUGGAGAAAAAAGACAAAAAUAAAAAUAAAAAUAAAUAAAAAUAUUAAAAAUAUUAAAAUAUUAAAAUAUUAAAAUAUUAUUAAAAUUUGUCUAUGUUAGCGUCGAUCAGGCCACGUCAGCCGGCCAACAUCCAAUUAGCAAAAUCUAGCCAAAAUUGGCCGAAAAGGACUCAAUUGGCACAAUGUAAAAAGGUUUAGGACUGAAUCGGCACAAAAAAAAAAUGUUUAGGACUAAAUCGGCACAAAGGCAAAAGGUUUAUGACUUUUUUGGCACUUUAACCGAAUUCAAUUCAUACAAGGUUGAGCUGCUGCCCUUCUCUUAAGGGAGAGAAGGUACUCUAGUAACUUCUUGCAAGCAACAUGGAUGACAGAUUCACCAGAGAAAAUCUGAUCGCACCUCCCACAUAAAAAGAGAUGUGAAAAUAAAGUAGAUCUUGCUAAUAAGUGUCCUCAAUACACUUGUUAAACAUGUUUAAUGCAUAAAGAUUUGAUUUUCAAAAUAUUAAUUGCGUAUGUCACAAAAAUAGUCGAUGCGUUAUAAUUUGCAGUAUUUUGUUAUUUUGUUACUUAAUAAGUGUCCUGUGGACACUAUUUAAGUAAGAUCCAAGUAAAAUUUACUCUUGUGCAAGCGGAGCAUCAACCUAGUAUAAGAGUGGGUAAAACUUGCAUGAAGUUUAGCCAUAUAGCACACUUAUGUAUAAAACUCUUUGUAAUUUGUUUUUGAUUAUCACUCUAACAAAUCUUUCAUCCUAACGUAUCUCUAACUCUACAUCUCUAGUCUUAUGCAAAUUUUGAUAAUAAGAUCUAUUAUUGGUAUACUUUCAUAUAUUCUUAUCUAUAAUUCUCUAACAGAACUAUGCAUAUUUUUUGGUAAUAAAUGCUCUAAUAAAUUUUUUUUUUUAAAUUCUAUCCCAAAAUACCCGCAAGUUUUAUCUUUAAAGAAACUUGCUCAAAGACGAGGUUUUGAAAGAAUUUAACAGUAUAGGGAUACCUAUCUCAUAAUUGGCUCAUAUUUAACAAACAAUACACUAAAAGAUCAAACUCAUGUAAGGCUCAUAUCGGACAAUUAAAGAGUAUUAAAAUCAUAUCUGAGAAAUACUUAAAUCACUUGAUCAAUGUCGAUUUGGUCUCAUAUUUGAGAAAAUAAAUACAUUAAAAAUCAAUGAAAAAAAAUCCAUAAUCACAGGACUAUCUAUCUCAUUGUUGACUUACAUUUUAGAGCAAUCUAUUUGAAAGUUCAAUCUCAUAUUGGCUUCAUAUUUGACAAAAAAAUAAUAUUAAAAUCAUAUUUAGAGUAACAUUACAUGAUCAAUAACAAUUAUGGCAAAUAAAUAAUAUUAAAACGACCCGGGCCUUUACAUAUUGUAUUUAUAUUUACGCACUUCGGCCUGCAGCAUUUCUUGUUUCUUAAUCAAUCUAGAUUCAUGUAUUUUAAAUCCCAUUGCUCGCAUGAUUUUUCUUGCCGUCAACUCCAAGAACCUUCAAAAUUGAGCGAGUGGCUCAUUCUAGAUUUCAUUUGCAGAACCCAAGCUCAAUCCCUUGCCUUGACUCGGUCGUCAAUUGUCUGAGAAGAAUCAAAGCGGAUGAGUCCAAAGUCGAUUAAUGUUCCAUUUGUACGUGAAGCUUUGCAGGUCCUAGUCUGUUGAUGUGUUCAGUAUAGACUAUUCAAACUCUUGCGGAGUGUUAUAAAAGUAAUAAUAUUGCUAACAUGAUAACCUUUGUACAAAAUGCUGACAUGAAAAGAUAAGAGACGAGAGAACGAGACUCAUUAGCUUCCUGGUCCCAGCCAUGUCCUUCCCACGAAUAGUAUGUCAGCUAAUAAUAAUGCAUAGCACAUGUCUUUUCUCGAUAACAUGAUCAUUUUCUAUACUCCGACGAUUUAAUGGUAAUGCAAAUUGACAGAAAAACAAGACAAGAGAUAAUUUCUGAAUUACACAGAGAAAGAUUUAUGAUGUCUUAUGCUAAUAGAAAUUGAUGUGAAUUACAAACACUAACACAAAUUGUCAAGCUUAGGUGAAAAUUUAAAUUAAAGAUUUUGUCAAUAUGUCUUUUAGAAAGGAUUUUCUUGAGGGAAACAAAACUUUACAUACGAAAUGAUGGACCGCACAACCCAUUAAAGCGGGUUGCGGUAAAAGAGGAUAGAGGCUGUGUGGUUAAGAUGAAUUCUGGACAAACGACAAGCACUCCAUAUUUAACUGUUCCAAAACAACAGCAAUAUGUGCAUUGUUUGUGACUGAGGCUCCAUCUAAUAAUGAUUAGCCAUCUAUAAAGUUGAUCUUUUUUUCCACAAAUUUACUUGACUAACUAGGUCAAUUUUAAUGAAGACUUGGAAAAGUAGGUGGAGCAUGGAUAUUGAAAAAUGAUCAAGAUCGUGCGUGUGUGUGUGUGUGUGUGNNNNNNNNNNNNNNNNNNNNNNNNNNNNNNNNNNNNNNNNNNNNNNNNNNNNNNNNNNNNNNNNNNNNNNNNNNNNNNNNNNNNNNNNNNNNNNNNNNNNAGGCCCAAUUUGCCCCUUCAUUUGAUGGCGCCUGAAGCCUAUAAGUGGAGUAACUUUUUGCAAGCAACAUGGACGACAGAUUCACUAGAGAAAAUCUUACUGCGUUCCCUACUUAAAAAGAUGAUGUGAAAAUAAAAUGAAUCUUGCUAACAAGUGUCCUAGAGAAACUUGUUAAACAUGCUUAAUGCAGAAAGAUUCGAUUUUCAUAAUAUUAAUUGUGUAUGUCACGAGCUGCAUUAUAAUUUGCGAUAUUUUGUUAUUUUGUUACUUAACAAAUGCCGUGCAAACAUUCUUCAAAUAAAAUCCUAGUAAAAUUUAUUCUUGUACAAACGGAGCAUCAAUGUAGUAAAAGGUGCGUAAAAGUCCCGAGAAGUUGAGCCACAUAGCAUGCUUACGCACGAAACUCUUGGUAAUUUGUUUUUGAUUAUCACUUUAGCAGAUCUUUAAUCCUAACAUAUCUCUAACUCUACAUCUCUAGUCUUAUGCAAAUUUUGAUUAAAAAAUCUAUUUUUGGUAUACUUUCAUUAUUUUUUAUUCAUAAUUCUCUAAGAAAGCUAUGCAUAUUUUUGGUAAUAAAUGCUUUAAAAAUAUUAUAUAUAUAGAUAUAUAUAUAUAUAUAUAUAGAUAGAUAGAUUUUAUCUCGAAAUAUCAGCAAUUUCUAUCUUUAUAUAAACUUUUUUAUUUAUUUGGUGAGGUAUCUUUAUAUAAACUUGUUCAAGACGAGGUUUUGAAAGAAUUUAACAGUAUAAGGAUACCUAUCUUGUGAUCGGCUCAUAUUUAACAAAUUAUAUAUUAAAAGACAAUGGGCUCUUAUUUGACAAUUAAAGAAUAUUAAAAUCAUGUCAGAAAAAUAAUUAUAUAUAUGAUCAAUCUCAAAUUGGUCUCAUAUUUGACAAAUAAAUAUAUUAGAAAAUCAAUGAAAAAAUCCAUCAUCGCAGGACUAUCUAUCUCAUUGUUGACUCACAUUUUAGAGUAAUCUAUUUGAAAGAUCAAUCUCAUUUUGGCUUCAUAUUUGACAAAUAAAUAAUAUUAAAAUCAUAUUUAUAGUAAUAUUACAUGAUCAAUAACAUAUUGAACUAAUAUUUGGCAAAUAAACAAUAUUAAACGACCGGGUCAUAUUGUAUUUAUAUUUACGCACUUCGUCCACCAGCAUUUUAUGUUUCUUAGUCAACCUAUAUUCAUGUAUUUUAAAUCCAAUUGCUCGCAUGAUUUUCUUGCCAUCAACUUCAACAACCUCGAAAUUGAGCGAGCGACUUAUUCUAGAUUUCGUUUGCAGAACCCGAGAUCAACCCCGUGCCUUUACUUAGUCGUCAACCAUCCACAAACAACCAAAGCGGAUGAGUCCAAAGGCGAUUAAUGUUCCAUUUGUAAGUUAAGGUUUGCGGGUCCUAGUCUGUCGAUGUGUUCAGUGUAGACUAUUCAAAGUCUUUGUGGAGAUAAUGCCGGUCUUCCGAGCAAAAUGAGAUAAAAGGAAUACUAUUGCUAACAUGUUAAUCUCCGUACAAAAUGCUGACAUGAAAAGAUAAGAAACGAGAGAACGAGACUUAUUAGCUUCUUGGUCCCCACCAUGAUAACAUCCCUUCCAACAAAUAGUUUGUCAGCUAAUAAUAAUGCAUAACACAAGUCUUUUCUUGAUAACAUGAUCAUUUUCUAUGCUCCAACGAUUUCAUGGUAACGUGAAUGUUGACAGAAGAAUGAGACGAGAGAUAAUUUCGGAAUUACAAAUUGUCAUGCUUAGAUGAAAAUUUAAAUCAAAGAUUUUGUCAAUAAAUUUUUUAGAAAGGAUUUUCAUGAGGGAAACAAAAAUUUACAUACGAAAUGGUGGAUCGCGCAACCCAUAAGAGCAGGUUGCGUUUAAAAAGGGUAGAGGCUGUGUGGUUUAGAUGAAUUCUGGACAUACAUGACAAGCACUCCAUGUUUAACUGUUUCAAAACGACAGCGAUAUAUGCAUUGUCCAUGAUUGAGGCCCCGUCUAAUAAUGAUUAGCCAUCUAUAAAUAUCUUAUCAAUCUUGUUGUUGAGAACAUGCGAACCUGGACAAUCUCACAUCGUCAAAACCACCCCAAAAUCAUGGCCUCGUCCUUAUUUCUGUGGAAGCCGUCUUCUUUAGGGGUCUUCUUCUUAUUCUACCCGCUCUUCUUCGUAAACAUCACCUUCUUUGUUUCAACUCCAUUUCAUGGCAUAGUCGUUUUUGCUUCCUCCAUUUCUUUCGCUUCCAGUAUGACCAACCAUACGGAUGAAGCAGGGACUCUCCUGAAAUGGAAAUCUAGUCUCAAAGACCACAACCAAUCUCUCUUGUCUUCAUGGCAUGGUAACAACUCUUGCCACUUCAUGGGUGUCACUUGCGAUGACUACGGAUUCAUUGCCCAUCUUAAUCUUUCUAAUCUCGGCCUGAGAGGAACUUUAAAUAGUCUCGACUUCUCGCACUUAACCAAGGUGGUCAGUCUUGACUUUUCCAGCAACUCGAUCUACGGUGCUAUGACCUCAAGUAUUGGUAACCUUUCCAAACUCAAGUAUCUUUAUUUUCAUGACAAUAGAUUGAGUGGACACAUUCCUUGGGAGAUUGGAUUGUUAGAUUCUCUUUCCGAAGUUUAUUUUGACAAAAACAAUCUCAGAGGUCCUAUCCCUGCUUCACUUGGAAAAUUAGGCAACUUAACAAAAUUGGGCAUAUCACAAAAUGACCUUUCUGGUCCCAUUCCAAGAGAGAUAGGUGACCUAAGAAGAUUGAAGUUUCUUUACUUAUGGAGGAACCAACUUUCGGGAUCCAUACCUGCAGAGAUUGGGAGUCUAACCGAUCUUAUUGAAUUACAUUUUUAUGAUAAUAAGUUGGUCGGGCGUAUCCCUGCUUCACUAGGAAACCUAAGUAGUCUAAAUGUUCUCUAUCUUUUCGGAAACCAAUUUUCAGGGUCCAUUCCUCCUUCUCUUGGAAAAUUAGGCAACUUAAGAAAUUUGAGCAUAUCAGAGAAUGACCUUUCUGGUCCCAUUCCAAGAGAGAUAGGUGACCUAAGAAGAUUGAAGUUUCUUAACUUAUGGAGGAAUCAACUUUCGGGAUCCAUACCUGUAGAGAUUGGGAGGCUAACCGAUCUUAUUGAAUUAGCAUUUUCUAAUAAUAAGUUGGUUGGGAGUAUCCCCGCUUCGCUAGGAAACCUAAGCGGUCUAAAUGCUCUCUAUCUUUACAGUAACCAACUUUCGGGAUCCAUACCUGCAGAGAUUGGGAGUCUAACCGAUCUUAUUGAAUUACAUUUUUAUGAUAAUAAGUUGGUCGGGUGUAUCCCUGCUUCACUAGGAAACCUAAGCAAUCUAAAUGUCCUCUAUCUUUACAAAAACCAACUUUCGGGAUCCAUACCUGCAGAGAUUGGGAGGCUAACCGAUCUUAUUGACCUAGAAUUUUCUGAUAAUAAGUUGGUCGGGCGUAUCCCUGCUUCACUAGGAAACCUAAGUAGUCUAAAUGUUCUCUAUCUUUUCGGAAACCAAUUUUCAGGGUCCAUUCCUCCUUCUCUUGGAAAAUUAGGCAACUUAAUAAAUUUGAGCCUAGCAAAGAAUGACCUUUCUGGUCCCAUUCCAAGAGAGAUAGGUGACCUAAGAAGAUUGAAGUUUCUUUACUUAUUGACGAACCAACUUUCGGGAUCCAUACCUGCAGAGAUUGGGAGGCUAACCGAUCUUAUUGACCUAGAUUUUUCUGAUAAUAAGUUGGUCGGGCGUAUCCCUGCUUCACUAGGAAAUCUAAGCAGUCUACAUGUCCUCUAUCUUUACAAAAACCAACUUUCGGGAUCCAUACCUGCAGAGAUUGAGAGGCUAACCGAUCUUAUUGACUUAGCAUUUUCUGAUAAUAAGUUGGUCGGGCGUAUCCCUGCUUCACUAGGAAACCUAAGCAGUCUAAAUGUCCUCUAUCUUUACCAAAACCAACUUUCGGGAUCCAUACCUUCAGCGAUUGGGAGGCUAACCAAUCUUAUUGAAUUAGAUUUUGCUGAUAAUACUUUGAGUGGUUCAAUCCCUGCAUCAAUUGGAAGCAUGGUCAAUUUAACUAUGUUACGCCUUAGAGAUAACAACUUUCUCGGUAUCUUGCCUCCCGAAAUUAACAAGAUCAUUCAUUUGAGUGUUUUGGAUCUCUCCAAUAAUGAACUCGAAGGGCAACUGCCGGAAAAUAUAUGCCUGGGGGGAUUAUUGCAAAAUGUCACUGUGCAUAAUAAUCAUUUCACAGGUCAUAUCCCUAAAAGCUUGAGGAAUUGUACUUCAUUAUAUAGAGUGAGGCUUGAAGGAAAUAAACUUACUGGAAAUGUAACAGAAGCUUUUGGAGUAUAUCCGCAACUGAAUUUUAUGGACUUGAGCUACAAUUAUUUGCAUGGCGAACUUUCAUGGAAAUGGGGGCACUGCCACAAUUUGACCCGCUUAAGGAUAUCGAACAAUAAAAUUUCCAGUGAGAUACCCUCGAUAUUCGGAAGGAUGGCUCAAUUACAGUUUCUUGACCUUUCUGCAAAUAAUUUAAGUGGAAAGAUUCCAAGGGAGUUGGGAAGCUUGCAACUACUAUUAGAUCUUAUCCUUAACAACAAUGGGAUCACAGGUGAUAUUCCUCAUCAAAUUGGAUUUUUAUCUCGACUAGAAUAUCUCAACCUAGGAUCAAACAAUUUGAGCGGAGCCAUUCCACCGCAGCUCAGCCUAUGCACCAACUUGCUGAGCUUGAACUUGAGCCAAAAUAAAAUUGAGAGAAGCAUUCCUUUCGAGAUAGGCAAUGCGCGAUUCCUAAGGGUUCUUGAUUUGAGUCAAAAUCUAUUGAUGGGAAGAAUACCACCAAAUCUAGGAAAAUUGAGAGUCCUAGAAACCCUAAACAUCUCCCACAAUGGUCUCUCUGGUUCCAUCCCAUAUAGUUUUGCUGACUUAUGGGCAUUAAUUUCCGUUGAUGUGUCCUACAAUGACUUGGAAGGUCCUCUCCCAAAUGUCAAAGCUUUUAAGGAGGCUCCAUUUGAGGCAGUUCAGCAUAACAAGGGGUUGUGUGGGAACAAGGCUGGAUUACAGAAAUGCAAUAGUUCUACCAUGAACAAGAAACACAAUCAACACGGUGGGGCUAGAAUUUUUAUUAUCCCCGUUCUCUCUUCCUUCUUGAUCGUCCUCAUAAUCUUUAAUUGCCAUCGGAGAAAGAUUAUCAAGAGAGAGAGGAAUGUAUUGACAGAGACUAAUGAUUUAGAUUUCAUGCACAUUCUGAGUUUUGAUGGCAAAAUUUUCUAUGAGCGAAUCAUGGAGGCGACAGAAGGAUUUGACUCCAAGUAUUAUUUGGGAGAAGGGGCGUAUGGCGUUGUUUACAAAGCUGAUCUACCCGCAGGUCAAACUGUUGCAGUCAAAAAAAUUACAUCGUCCCAGGAAGAUGAGACCGUCAACAUCAUUCCUUUUGAAAGGGAAAUUGAAGCCUUACAAACUAUUCGCCACCGCAACAUCGUGAAAUUUUAUGGGUUCUGCUCUCAUGCACACCAUCGUUUUCUGGUAUACGAGUACAUCGAAAGAGGGAGCUUGAGAACAAUUUUGAAUGAUGAUGAUAGAGCAUCAAAGCUUGGCUGGGACAAAAGGAUAAACAUGGUUCGAGCAAUUGCGGAUGCGUUGUCGUAUAUGCAUCACAACUGUUUUCCUCCAUUGAUCCAUCGGGACUUGACCAGCAACAACAUCUUGUUGGAUGCUGAUUUCGAGGCUCAUGUUUCAGACUUUGGCACCGCAAGAUUAUUGAGGCCAGAUUCCACCAACUGGACUGCAACUGCCGGCACCAUUGGAUACAUCGCUCCAGGUGAUGUUCUUUGUAGAGGCAUAUUAAUUUACUGUCCCAACUCGUGCUGUCAUUGGAAAUUCCUUAAUUAUGUGAAAGCAAAUGUCUGAGUCUUUAAUUACAACCCAGUAAGAUUAUCAACGGACUUUGAAUUCUUCAAUCGCAGAGCUAGCUUAUACCAACAUUCCGACCAAAAAAUGUGAUGUAUAUAGCUUUGGAGUUAUAGUACUGGAGAUAAUCAUGGGAAAGCAUCCAGGAGAUUAUGUCUCGUUGGUAUUUUCAUCCACUCAAUCCGAGUCGCAAACCCCAUUGAAGGAUGUGCUGGACCAACGCCUCUUGCCUCCAACAAAUCAGCAUGUGCAAAACGUAAUCUCUAUUGCAGCACUAGCACUCGCUUGCUUGCGGACCAAUCCUCAACGUCGACCGACCAUGACACAAGUUUUGCAAGAGCUUCGAGUUCAAGCACCACCGGUUUUGCCGUUCUUUGGAGUCACCUUAGAACAACUCCGUGAUCUCGAUGGCAGGAACUUUUAGAUCGCAUUCGGGAGGUUGCAAGUUUCCGAUCGAGCUACUGUCGUGUGUUCACCUUUUCUGGCUUCUGUGUUUGGCAGUAAGAUGUCGAUUACUUAGUUAUAAAACUUGGAAGAUGCAUAGUCUAAAUGUUUUCUUUUUGUAAGAGUAGAAUAAUAGUUAAUUUUCCUCCUUUCGUGUAAGCAAGCAUCUAUCCAA